rnacentral:lncRNA from 1 species
CUGAUAAAGGUUACUAUGGCCGUGGACCAAUCCAACUAUCCUGGAAUUUCAACUAUGGACCAGCUGGGGAGAGCAUCGGCUUCGAUGGACUAAACUCACCUGAAACCGUCGCCACAGACCCUAUUAUCUCCUUCAAGACCGCCUUGUGGUACUGGGUGAACUCUGUUCAACCUGUCAUAGGCCAAGGCUUCGGGGCAACUAUUCGUGCCAUUAAUGGGGCUCUUGAGUGCGAUGGUGGAAACCCUGCUACAGUUCAGAGACGGAUUGAGUACUAUACCGAUUACUGUAACCAGCUUGGUGUUGAUCCUGGGCCAAAUCUAACCUGCUAGAAUUCAUUUUUUGUCACUUGCAGCCUUCUUUUUUCUAUGAAUUUCAAUUUCAAUAAUUUUUUUCUUGUUUUGGUUACUUGGGGUACGGUUGAAAUAGAAUACUAUAUGUAAUCAUAUUGGAUCGCCUAUUAUAUAUGGAAAACUCUGAUUCGGAUAACUUGGGCUUUCCCUUUUAUAUACAGAUUGCAGUUUCAUAAUAUAGUCAUAUAGAUGACCUCAUUUUUGGUGCAUGGUCUUGAUCUUCUAAAAGGCCAAGUCGUGGAUGUGGAUGUUGAAACCCCAAAUUAAAUUUCAAAUAUAUCAAUUGAAGUCUUUACAUGAACAAGUCUCUUGAAAUUUUUCUCAAAGAAUUUGACGCCCAAAACCGAUGUCUGUGCCUAGCUUGUAUCUUUGUGAAUUUAAUGUCAUUCCUCUAGUUCAAAUAGGGAGCCCUUGGAGAUUUGAGAGCAUAAGGUUCCAUAUACUUAUACAGCCUUUUUAUCCACACCCUGUAUGCCUUUUUGUUUCCUUCACAGCUUCCCAAUUAAUUAAAUCAGAUAAUUUAAACUACUAAACUGUGAUAUGAUAAAAAAAAUAUGAAAGUGACAUGAAUUAAAAUUUUAAUAAAGAUCAUAUGUAAGUUUAACAAAAAUAAAAAAUAUAUUUUAUGUAAAACAUGUAACAAAUACAUGAAUUGCUAAUGUUUUACAUGAUACAGAUAUCUAUAAUUAAUAAUAUUAUAGAUUCAUACUUCAACGAGGCAUAGGAAUUGGGUUUUAAAAAAAAAAAGCAACUAAACAAUUAAAAAGAUAUUAAAAAAAAAACUUACAUGCACUUCUUUCCAUUUAGAUGGGUUCAAGGGGUCUUCCCAAAAAUUCAACUUUGGAGGUCCACAACGAUCUGCAACAAAACCCAAUCACCAAAAAAAGACAUUUGUUUUAUUGAAAUCAACUCAAAAUGAAGAAAGACAUGAUUUUUCUUAUCAUUGUUAUAAAAUGGUGAUAAAAGUGUGAAACGGUAGUACCACCGCCACUGGCGGUGAGGCUACGGUAGUGGAUGAGGGUGGCAGCUUGAGGAGUUGAAUAAGUUGACUUUGGUGAGGACAGCCGUGCCAGAUUGGUGGCCUGGCUAGCCCUAGUGGUCCACGUUGACAUAGUUUUGGUACAAGCUGCUCUCUCUGUUUUUUGGAGUGCUUUUGAGAGUGUGUAUAGCAUGCUUUUCCCCCUUCUCCGAUUACCCUUCUAUCAGAUAAAACUUCUGGAGAAUGAAAGCAAAUGAAGCUUUUGGAGAAGCUUCCUUUAAGACCAAAAUUACUCUUAAAUCUUUUGAACCUUCCAUCGCUAAGUUGUCCCUUCAAUACAAAUAAGGGUAAUUUUCAAUAAUAAAUCAAAAUGUAAUUAAUAAACUAAAAUUAAUCCAGAAUAGAUAAAAAAGGCAAAUUGCUAGAGCCAAAUUGGCGAGUCUUUCAAUGUUCUUCAUUGUCAUCGUUUAUUUAUAAUAUAACAGCCACGAAAACUCGAACUUCUUUUUAACUAAAAAAAAUAAAAGUUAAAAUAAAUCAAAACAAUUAAUGAAUUAGUUGAGGAAAAAAUAAAAUUAAGAUUUAAAUAAACUUCCAAGUAAAAUUAGGAUUAAAUUUUUUUUAUUAUUCUUUUUCUUAAAUUGAGAAAAAAUAUGGAUAACAGUAUAAAUCAUAUCUGAUAUAUGACAAAAAAAAGUAAAAAAUCAGACAUGCAAAAUUUGAUUAACAUUGAAAACACAAAAACUGAGAAACAUAGAAAAAAUCCUCACAACAGAACUUAUCCUAACACUUCAAAUAUGCAGAGACUGCAAAUCCAAGAUAUAUAUAUAUAUAUCUAUAUAUAUAAAAGCUAUGAACAUUAAACUGAAACUGACGUUAAGUACAACGUUAGUAACAUUGCUAUCUAUUAUCAUAUCUUUCAACAUCUUAGCUUCACCUGCGAUUUCAAGCUCCAACACCCACCUUUACAGCGCUAAAACCGUCCAACUCCACUCAGCAUUUGAUCUGCGAAGCCUUGCUUUUGACCCCAAUAGAGAUGAUCCAUACACCGGCGUUGCUGAUGGUCGGAUUUGAAGAAGAAAAGUAGAGCAUAAUGGAAGAAGACAGGAAAAAAAGCGAGAGAGGACAACUGGAGGCGGAGAAAACAAAGCAAAGCAAUUUUUUAUUACUCAAAUUAACCUUCAACUUUUUUAAUGACUUUAAAAAUGUGGAUAGUACAAGUGAGAUAGGAGAUUAUUUUUAAUCUAUGUACGGAUAAUUGAAAUUAAUAUGAUUACAUCUUAUGUUUUUCUGUUCCUAUAAUUUAUGAAACCUCCAUAAUGUUAAACAAACAUUUAUAAAGUGCUCACUACGACAAGAAAUUAUUAAAACCAACAAGACAAUAUCUUAGGACUCUUCAUUUUACUUAUUACUAUUUUAGUUAAAUUGAGUUGUCCGUAUCUUAUGAAAGUUUUCUUUUUUUUUUCAAUUGAAAUUGAUUUUUUUAAUGCGUAUAGUUAUUUGGUUUUCACUAUUAAUUGCUAUGUAAAGAUUUUAAAUCUUUUUUUUUCUUGGUAUAUCAGUGGAUAUAAUUCAUGAGAAAAGAGAAUGAAUCUUGCUUUGAAAUCAAAAUUUUUAUAUCCUCUUAAAAGUUAUUUGACCACUUGACCAAAGAAACAAGAACAAAGACCCUAAAUUUAGAUAUAUAAUAUGUAGGUAUUGUUUGGAUCACGUAACUUUUUGAUCCCUACAAUUUAAAAGAUCAUAUAUUGAUUUUUAUACUUUGUCAUUAUAACAAAAUGAUUCUUUCGUUAGUGCGUGUAAGUGUUACAUAUUUAUAAAAUUAUCUAUUAUAUUUAAAUUUUUUAUUAUAAUUUUAAAAAAAUCAUAUAAUUUUUAUUUUCUUUAUUUUCAUUUUCCAAUGUAAUGGAUAUUUCAACUUUUUUUUUCUUACAACCAAUUACACCAAUGAAAUAUAUAUAUAUAUAUAUAUAUUAUUUUGUCACGUUUCUCUUCUUUUAAUUUUUCAAAUUUUUUUAUGAACACUACCCAGUAAAGAUUAGGUGCCGAUUGACUCUCAAUUCAUGUCUAUAAAAAAAUUGCAUAAUUAAAAAAAAAAACCAAUUUUGUUUUGGAUAUGAAAUUUAUUUUAAAAUUGUUUUGGAAAAUUUCAAGAUGCUAAGAUGGGAAAUUUCUGCCGUGGGGGAAUAGCUAAAAAUCUGAACUUUAUCCAUGAUUUUACAGGGAAAAACGUUCUGCAGAUUAGGACAUGGAAGUUUGUUCUUCUGGCCAAAUUUGUCUGCCAGCUCAGUGUUCCUCACGUAUAGUCUCUGCUCAAUGACUGUAAUUAAAUUUCUUGAUUUACAUAACGAUGCUUAGAGGGGCAGUACAUACCGUGAUCUAAGCAAACAAGCAAACAAACAGCGGUAUGAUUUCAAAGAAAUUUCGAAAUUACCUUCCACCGAUUUUAGCAAUCAAGAGUUAGAGUUUUUUUUUUUAAUUUUUUUGAAGUUGUACAAAGUUGAGGUGAAGCAAACCAAGUAACAGAACUGCAAACACAAGAACACAACAACUGAGAAUCACAAAACAGCAGUGACGGCCCACUGAGAAUAAAGUUCAGUUCCAUGAAAUGAACGAAAAGAAUUACCUCCCUCUGAUCUUAGCAAACAGCAAAUCAGAGACUUCUUUUCCGGGCUCAAGCCGAUGCAAUUAGAAGAGGAACGCGCAGUAUCCUAAUUAGUUCGAGAUUUCGAAGUUAACAUGAAAUGAGGAAAGAUUCCUAUCGUUAGCAAGACGACAAAGCAAGAGUGCGGAAAAAGCAGACUCAGAUACAAUAUUUAUUAGAGUUUGGUACAGCCAAUAUACGGUUUACUAGAAUUGGUGCAUUAGCAUUGGCUCCGCCCCAAUACUUGAAGUUCAUCACAUAUCUUUGUUGAAAAGUAGAAUAGCUUUCAGGCUUGUAAUUGAAGUGAUCAAGUGUUUGGGGGUAAUAAAAAGUUCGAAGAUCCUCUGAAACUGAUGCAGACGACACAAUAUCAGGCUGUUCCAAGAUUAAUGAUCCUCUCGUUGGACUCAGUCUCGGAAUGUCAAAUCGGCCAGCACUGUAGCUAUUCUCUGAUUUCUGCCUCUCUCUUUACUUUUUUUGUGUCUGCUUCUUUUGAUUGCUGAACCGUGUUGGUUCUAUUUUGGGUUUGUUGCUUUCUGUUUUUGAAAUUGAUGUAACCUUAACCGAUUCUGCCUCUGGAAGGAAUUGAUUCUGUCGGUUGGUGUUGAUGAUUGUGGCAAUGGCAGCAUGUGAGUGGCUAGGUGAUUUGCGGUCACUAUCUAAGGCUGGAAUUCAUGGUUGGUAACUGGAAUUCAUGGCUGGCAAGACUUGGUUAGACGCUCAGGCAGAGGUGACAGUAUGGGAUUGAUGGUGUGGAACAGAAUGGUAUUUUUGGUGAUGGAGGAUGAGCUCUCAAGACCUUCUAUUGUUGGUUGCAAUGGUGGUUGAUGGCAGUGGUUGAUGAUUGAGCUGCAGUGGGGUGAAGGUCGUGGUCUUUCUAUGUAAUCUGUUUCUUUGUUUGUUUUCCCUGAUCCCUCCUCCCCUGUUGCUGUUACCGUCCUUCUUGCUGUAAAUUGCAAUCAUUUAUAAAACUAUGUGAUUGAGUUUUAGUGCAAUUCUGAUUAUCAUCCAAAGCUAAAAAUUAGCACUAAUCCUAAUCUCAUUCUUUCAGCUUUUUUUUUUUAAAUUAAUCAGAUAAUGGAGAAAAAAAAGAAAUUAAACAAUAGAUAGACCAUAAAAAAAUAAAAAUGAUAAAAAAAAAACCUAAAAUGAAAAUGAAUAAAAAUUCCUAUAACCGAACUUAGAUUAAUUUCGAUUGAUAAAGAACUACGAACAAAAUAAGGUGUCUACACUUCAUUUUCGACAAAACCAGUGAUGUUAUUCGCUGGCAAAUAAAGACGCUUCAAUUCCUUGAAAGGAACAAACAAAGAGGCAUUAAGAUACCAUCCUUCGUUGUUGAACCAUGUUGUAUAAUUAAGAAAGAGUCCUAUGAGUCGCCUGGGGGAGGAGGAGGUGUUGCACUCGACCCUUUCCCAUUGGCAGCAAUCUGAAUCCUUGACCUCCUCCACCCAGCCGUUCAGAUUAUUAUAACCAUUGAAGAAAGGUUUGAGUUGCAAGAGAGCAAUCCUCUCAUCCUCCCUACACGCAUCAGUACUACUCCAUCUGCAUCCUUCAAACAACAACACCACCACACUCAACCACAACCAUUUGGUUUCCAUCACCUCUUUCUCUAUUAUAUCUCUAUAAUUUCAAUUCUCUCUCAACUGCUACUUGUAAAUAUAUAACAAUAAGCCUUGCAUCGAGCUUAAUAUAUAUAGACAAUCAUGGAGUUAGGCAAUAACAGACAUUCCUACAAAAUGGCUUUCGAAUAUAAAUUGAUGAAAUUUUGUCUAUAGAAUAUUUCGUUAAAUAUUUUUAAUUAGGUUAAUUAUUUUUAUUCAAAAUCAACAAUUAUUGACAGUGCAGUAAGGAAAUCAAGUCAAGGAAACUUUGGCAACUUAAGGUCCUCGUUGAGACUCUAUUUUGUAGGAUAGAAAGAAAAAGGAAAGGGAAAAAAAAGAUUCCCUCUUCCUUUCCUUCUUACCAAAAAGAGUGUUAGUCUCUUUCUUUUUCUCCCAUUGGUGGUAAAUUCUACUAUUCUUAGAAAUGAAACUUGAAUAAACUAAUCACUAAAAUCACCCCCUCUCGAAAGUGGCCAACAUAAUUUAGAAAAAAUUUUGCAGUGAGACAAUGACUUUUAUUUUCCACAAAUUAAAACUUUGUUCAUGCUAUCAAUGAGGUUUUGUCUCAAUAAUAAGAAAGAGGGAUUGGAAGCAUUAGAGUUUAUGUUCGAAUGUCAUUGUAUGUUGGAUUUAAUUUAAUUCUAUGUUGGUUUAGAUUGGUUUGUUUAUUGAUUUUUCUAUAAAUAUAUUAAUUUUAUAUUAUUCAAUUAUCUUGAUUAUUAUUAAUUUUUUGGUACCAACAAUCGAACUCGAUUAAAAAUAAUUGAUUUCACAAUCGUUCUCGUUGUUGUUAUAGUUGGAGUACUUGUUAAUUAUUAAGUGUUUAUAGACCCAAUAACUACUUUCUAGACUAGCGGUCAAAAAACUUGGAUCCAGCCUUACAUAUGAUUUUUUUAGGCUUGAGAUCAACUUGAGAAUUUUAUUAUAUUAAUAAAUAAUAUAUUUUAAUUAAAUUUUAAUAUGCAAAUAUUAAUAUAAAAAUAUUUUAACAUUUUAACAACAAAUUUAAUUAAAAUGAGUAAAUCAAUUUGGAUGCCUUUCACCUAAAAUCCUUUUUAUUAUAAUUUUACAAUUAUCCACCUCAUACAAUUUUAAAUUAUGAUUAGUUAUUAUAAUGAUUGUAGAUAAUACACUUGAUUUUUCAUUUUUUUAUUUUUAAUUAAUAUUUUUGCCCAUAAUGUGACUUGUACAUGAAAUCAAGGAGUACUUUGGGUUAAAAAAUACUUUCCACCUUUUUCAAGUAGUUUCCUGUGACAUUUAUUUUUUAGUGAAAAGAAAAAACGUUUAUUGCGAGUACCAUUUGAGAUAUAUUUAUAUAUAUAUAUAUAUAUAUAUAUAUUAAAGUUUAUGAAACAAUAACAUCAAAUAUUGCAUUGUUUGAGUGGAUCUUGACAUUGGCGUCAACCUUGAAAUUCACAUUUGCUUCGUACCCACGUUGUUUAAUUAAAAUAUAACUUAGAUUCUUAAAGUGUAUAUGAAGAAAAAAUGUUGUGAUUGUUCUAAGAGUUUUUCAUUUUUUUUAUUUCUUUGUAAAUGAUGAAUAAGAUAGCAGUAAUCGAUCAAUAAUAUAAUAUUAAAUUUCAUAAUUGUAGUUGUAAAAAUAUAGAUAAGCUAUUAAUAAAGGAUAAAAAAAAUUUAUACUUUUAUAAUAUCACUAGAAUGAAGUCCUUGCUUUGUAUGGGAUAUAUUUUUUUAAAAAAUUACUUAUAAAAAUAAUUUUAAAUUGAAUGACAUGGUAAAUAAUAACACUUAUAAAAAAAUAUUUUUAUCUUUAAUUUUUAAUUUUUCAAAAUACAUACUUUGAUAUCAAAUUGCACUUUUGGCUUUUAACACACGAAAAAAUGAAUUAAAAAAAGUAAAAAAAAAAAAGUAAAAUACAUAGAAAAACAAGUAGAAAAAGUAAAUUUUGGUCUCUUAAAAGCUACUGCAAUGUUGCUUGUUGGCCAAACCCAAAAGAAAGUUUUUGAGAAAUUAACUCCAACCUGCUUGACACUUCACAUUAUUUAUAGUCAUAUCUGCACCAUUAGUUUUACUUUAGCGUGAAUAACGUUUUAAUUUGUGGAAAAUAAAAAAAUAAGUGACCAAAAUAGAAGUUUAGCACUCAUCUUUAAUUUUUGGAAAUGAUUUCAAAGUUACAUUACCGAAAUAGAAGUUUUCGAACAAUUGAGUGAUAAAAUGAGUAAUUUAUCCACCUUUUUGAUACAGACAUUGGCCCAAGUUGAUUAAGCCUAACAGAAAUUAAAGAUGUAUUUGAUACAUAAAAUUAUAAUAAGAUAUAAUAAGAUGAUAUUAUGAAUAAGAUUAAAUUAAAUAAUGUCAUUUUAUUUAUGUUUGAUGUAUGCAAUGAUUAUAAUAAAAUAAUUUAUUUAUUGAUCAAAAUUAUCAUUUCUCAAAAUUUAUACAAUUUAAAUUAUUAAUCUAAUUUUUAAAGAUAUAUUAGGACAUGUAACUUUAAUCCAUAGAUUAAAAAUAAUCUUCUACAAUUUGAGAGAAUUGAAUCAUUAUUUACCAAGAGAAUGAUUAAUUUUCUUUGUAAUCCUAUCUUUUUCUUUUAAAUGCAAAAUAAAUAUAACAUAAGAUUAUUAUUAUUAUUCUAUCUUAUCCAUCAUCUUAUACACAAAAUAUGACGUAAAUUUUUCUGAAAAUUUAACUUGCUUGACCCUGCAAUGUUAUUUCUUACUCCACACUUGAUUCAUAUGAAAGUGAAUUUCAUGUUUGAACAGAGUUUUAGUUCAUUGGAAAUUAUAAGCUCUGGUGCUUGAAUUUCCAAACAAGACGCGUUAUUGUCUCACUGCAAAUUUUUUCUUGACGGUGUUGGAGGAUUCUGUGAUUUUCAUGAUUAGUUAAAUUUAGUGUAGGAUUUAUGAUUUUUUUGAAGUGUCCAAUUAUAAUAUAUAUAAAAAGUUGUCAAUGAAUUUACUAAUUUUAUCGACGGAAAAGUAUGUCCAACGAAAAUUUUUUUUCAAAUUUUCUUGUUUUACAAUCUUUAAAUUUGUCCAUGAACAACCUAACUAAACAUGUGGAUCUAUCCCUAAUUCAUUCAAGCUGCCUUCAAUUAUAAGGAUUUGAAUUGCAAAUUUUUCCAAAAUGAAGUUACAGAUUGAUUUUCAUGAUUAGUCCAUUCAUGUUGGCUUCAAUUUCAAAGAAUUGGAAUGCAAAAUUUUCCUAAAUGAUGUUGGAGAUAGUCUAAUUUUGAUGAUUUGUUCAUUCAAGUUACCUUCAACUAUAAAGAAUUGGAAUUUAGUAAUGAUGAGAGAGAGAGAGAGAGAGAGAGAGAGAGAGAGAGAGAGAGAGAGAGAGAGGAGACCUUGACUUGUUAAUAGACUUGACAAUUUAAAACAUGACAUAUUGAUAUGAUACGAACACAAUAUGAAAAUAUGACAUGAAAGUGACGGUUUAAAACUUAACAAUAACUAUAUAUGGGUUUAAUAUAACUAAAAAAAUAUAUUUCAUGUUUUCAUGUCGAUAUAAAUUGUGACAUGUAAUUUUAUAUAAAAUAUGAUAUGAAUAUAUGAAUUUCAAUAUUUUAGAUGGCAUGAAUAUAUGAAUCGCCAAAUCUACUUACCACGCCUAGAAUUGUGGAAUUGACUUUUGAUGCUCUUGCAUCUUGCUUUUAUCUUAUCCUUCUUUUGUUUUAAGACAAGGAAUGGAAUAAAAUAAGUUAGUUAUUCUUAUUUGCAACCGUGUAUUCAAUUAGAUGUGUCCUUGAGUUAUUAUCAAUCCAGGAAAAACCUUCUAUUUUUUGAAUUUUACUAAUAUGUAUCUUAAUUUUUUUCAUUCAUAUUGGUUUAUAAAAUUUUGAUUUUAUGAUAGAUUGAUUAAUUAUAAUAUGAAGCAUCCGAAUAUUGGAUUUAUUGAUUAAUGCUUUUAUUUUUUACUUAAAAAAAUAGCGAUAAUCUUUUUCAAUUAAAAAAAUUAAAAAAUGAUAGCCAUAAAAAGUCAUUGUUUUUAAUGAUAUUUAUUUGACUAACAACUUAAUCCAAAUGAGCACUUUAGAGAAUAGUCGUCUUUAGCACCAUGAAUGAGUGGAUUUUGGGUAAAUAAUUUUAUUCCACUGAAUCAUAUCAUAUUCCAUAACAUUCCACAAUUGCACUAAUAAAUUGUAAAAGUAUGUUCCAUCCUAGUGGCUGCUUGCCACAUUCUUAGUUGAAUCUUUAAGAAAGGGACCAAUCAAUAUCUUUUUUUUUUUUUUUUGGUGCACCAAAGACCAAACAAUAUCUACCAUGAUUAAUCGCACUUGUUAUAAGAAAAUGAACUUUUGUAUUCUAAUGUAAAAGUUCGUAUAAGAGUUUAUAUUUACAUGAUAUUUUCACUAGUCUAGAUAGCAUGAAGUUGAUUAUUUAAUAAUCAUAUCGUAAUUUUAAAUUUUAAUAAUUACAUCAACACUCAUCUUUAAAUUUAAAGAGGUAUAAGUAGAUUUUAACUUAGAAUAAAUCAAUUAUAUUUAUAGUUGUAAAUCCAUGACAGUAUAUUAAUAAAUUAAAGAUAAUUUAAUAAUAAAGAGGUAUAAGUAGAUUUUAACUUAGAAUAAAUCAAUUAUAUUUAUAGUUGUAAAUCCAUGACAGUAUAUUAAUAAAUUAAAGAUAAUUUAAUAAAAAAAGUGAUAAUUUAGUAGUUAGUUAUUAAUAAUAAUUAAAGAUAGUUUAAUAAAAAAUAAGUGAUAAUUUAGUAGUUACUUAUUAAUAACUUGAUAAGUGAAUAAUAAUUUAAUAAUAAAUUAGUGAUAAUUAAUAAUAGAUCAAUAUAAGUUUAAUAGUAAUUAAUUGAUAGUAGUAAAUAAUAUAAUUUAGUAGUUAAUCAUUGGAAACUUAGAAGUAAAUCAAUAUAACUUAUUAAUAAAUAAUUAAUACUUAAUAGUAAAUUAUGGAUAAUUUAAUAUAAAUAAGUGAAAACUUGAUAGUGAAUCAUUGAUAAUUUAGUAAUAAAUCAGUAAGAAUUUUAUAGUAAAUAAUCAAAAAUUAAAUAGUAAAUCGAUGAUAACAUAAUAAUAAAUACAUAAUAAUAUAAUAAUAAAUUAUUGAUAAUUUAGUAGUAAAUUAUUAAUAACAUAGUAGUAAAUUACUAAUAGUAUAGCAGUUUACUAAUAACUUAGUUAUAAAUCAAUGAUAAUUUAAUAAUAAAUUAGUUAAUCAUUGAUAAUUUUAUAGUAAAUUAUUGAUAAAUUAAUAAUAAAUCAAUUAUAACUUCAUAAUAAAUUACCAAUAACUUUAUGAUAAAUCACCAAUAAUUUGAUAGUAAAUCAUUUAAAUCAAAGGUAAAUCAUUGAUAACUUAGUAUUAAAUAAAUGAUAACUUAGUUGUCAAUCUUUGGUAGCUUUUUUAUAGUUGAAAUUAUCAAGGAUUGAAGCCUAAUCUAGCAAAAACGAAGGCAAAACUUUUAUCUUGGAGCUAGGAUAAGCUUACCACGAAUUUAUUUAAUAAAAAAUUUUAAAUUUGAAUAAAGUUAUAAUUUUAUUACAUAAAAAGAAAAUUAUCUCUUAUUUUGUUAGUUGACAUUUUAUAAUCCAUGUUUCAUAGUUGUAAAUGUAUGACAACAUAUUAAUAAGUUAAAGAUAUGUUAAUAAAAAUAAGUAAUAAUUUAAUAGUAAAUUAGUGAUAAUUUAAUAAUAAAUUGAUUUUGGUUUAAUAGUAACUAAUUGAUAAAUUUGGUAGUAAAUCAUAAAUAACUUAGUAGUAAAUCAAUAAUAAUUUAGUAAAUUAUUUAGUAAAUUAUCGAAAACUUAAUAGUUAAUCAGUGAUAAUUUAAUAGUAAAUCAUGUACAACUUAAUAUAAAUCAGUGAUAACUCGAUAGUUAAUCAUGAGAUAAUUUGGUAAUAAAUCUAGAAUAAUUUUGUAGUAUAUAACUGAAAAUUAAGUAGUAAAUCAAUGAUAAUAUAGUAAUAAAUGCAUAAUAAAUAUAAUAUUAAAUUAUUGAUAAUUUAAUAGUAAAUUAUUGAUAAUUUAGUAGCAAACCAUUAAUAAUAUAAUAGUAAAUUACAAAUAACUUAAUUACAAAUCAAUGAUAAUUUAGUUAUUAAUCAGUGAUAAUUUAGUAGUAAAUUAGUUAGUUAUUAAUAAUUUUGAAGUAAAUCAACAUUAAAUUAAUAGUAAAUCAAUUAUAACUUUAAUAAACCAUCAAAAUUUAGUAGAAAAUUAGUAACAAUUUAGUAGGAAACUAUUAAAAACUUAAUGAUAAAUUAUUCAUAACUUAAUAGUAAAUUAAUACUAAUUUAAUAAUAAAUUAUUGAAAACUUAUAGUAAAUAACUGAUAACAUAAUGGUAAAUCAAUAAUAACUUAAUUGUUAAUUAUUGAUUUUUUUUAUACCUAAGGUUAUCAAGAAUUAAACCUUAGUUACUAAUAGAAAUUAGACAUGACAAUUUAAAAUAUAACAUGAUUACAUGACACAAACAUGAUAUGACAAUAGGACACAAAAGUGACACAGCUUAAAAUUUUAGCAAUAACUAUAUAUGGGUUUUAACAAACUAAAAAAAUGUAUUUCAUGUUUUCGUAUUAACAUGAAUUAUGACACAAUUUUUGUGUAAAACAUAGUACCAAUACACAAAUUUUAGUAUUUCAUAUGAUAUGAAUACAUGAAUCACCAAGUCUAGUAGAAAUGAAGCUAGAACUUUUAUCUUGGAAUGUUGGGAUAAGCCUAUCAUGAACCUAUUCAAUAAAAAAAUUAGUAAAAAAUUUAAAAUUUGAAUGAAGUAAUAAUAUAAUUAUAUAAAAAGAAAUUAUCUUAUGCUAGAAUAAAGCCCACACUUUACAAUGGGAAUCCAUUUUUAAAUAUAUAAUGACACAAAUUUUAUAAAGGAUUACUGAAAGUAUAUUAUAAGUUACCAAAUUAUAUAUAUGAAAGGUUAUCAAAGUUACAUCAAGAUGUUAUUAAAAUUUUAUCAAAUAUUAUCAAAAUUAUAUUAAUGAUUACUAAAAUUAUAUAAUAAGUUACCAAACUAAUUGAAGGUUACCAAAAUUAUAUCGAAAAUUAUCAAAAUUUUAUCAAAAGUUUUCAAACUUCUAACAAAGGUUACCAAAACAUAUCAAAGGUGGUUAAAAUCAAAAGGAUUCAUGUCAUAAAUAGCCCCUAAACUAUAUUGAAAUGUUAAAUGUGGUACUUAAAAUUUAAAAUUUUCUAAUGUAGUACUUGAAUUAUGAAUUUACUAACUCAUAUAGUAUUCACUCUUGAUGUGACUAGUUUCAAAUGAUAACACGUGAUAGAUAAAUAAUUUUUCAAGUACCACAUUAAUUUAUAGAUUUAUAAUUUAGAUAUUAUAUUAAAAAUUCUUAAAGCUUAGUAUUAUAUUGAACAUUUCAUUAUAGUUUGGAGACCAUUCAUUAUAUUAAUCCAAAUUAAAAUUACAUAAAAAGUUAUCAAAUUUUACUCAUUUGAUACCAAAAUUGAAAUUAAAUUGUUAAUAUUUAUCAUUAUUAUCAUAAUAUCAAAAAAUUAUUUAUUAAAUAAAAUUUUUAAAGAUAAAAUUACAUUAACAUCCCCUACAUGCUGAAAACUAAUAUAAUAGUAUAUUCAUAGACAAAAUCAAUAAACAAUUCAAUCAAAAACAAAGCGAAAGUUGACUUAGGUCCAAAUACGAUGAGAUUCAAUUAUGAGAUCCAAAGGUUCCAAGACCUCAAUCCUCGUGAACAAAGUAUAAUUUUUGAAAAACAAUGUCUUUGGCCUGGUUUUUAACGCGUAUUUGUCUCAUUAAUUUUUUUUUUUUAAAUUAUGUGAGCCACUUUUGUAAGAGUGUGAUGUUAAUGACACUGACAUUGACCUGAGCUGGUUAGGCCUAAUAGAAAUUAGGUCCUUUUGAAAAAUUAACUUGGUUGACCCGUAAUGUUAUUUCAUACUCCAUACAUGAUUCAAAUGAAAGUGAAUUUCAUGUUUGAAUAGAGUUUUAGUUCGUUGAAAAUUAUAACCUCCGGUGCUUGGUUUUCCAAACAAAACGGGUCUCACUGCAAAUAUUUUCUUUGGUGUGGGGGAUGGUGUGAUUUUCAUGAUUACUUAAUUUCAAUGCGGGAUUUAAGUUUUUUUUUUUUCGAAAUGUCUACUUAUAAUAUACAAAGAAAGCUAUCAACAGAUUUAUUAAUUGUAUCAAUGAAAAAAUAUAUGUUCAGUGAUUUUUUUUUUUUCAAAUUUUCUUGUUUUACAAUUUGUAAAGGUAUCCAUGAACACUGUAACUAAACAUGUGGAUCCAUCCCUGAUUCAUUCAAGCUACCUUCAAUUAUAAUGAUUUGAAUUGCAAAUUUUUCCAAAAUGGAAUUACAGACUGAUUUUCAUGAUUAGUCCAUUCAAGUAGGCUUCAGUUAUAAAGAAUUGGAAUGCAAAGUUUUUCUAAAUGGUGUUGGAGAUAAUCUAAUUUUGAUGAUUAGUUCAUUCAAGUUGCCUUCAACUACAAAGAAUUGAAAUUUAGUAAUGAUCAGAGAGAGAGAGAGAGAGAGGAGACCUUGACUUGCCAGGCCUAGAAUUGUGGAAUUGACUGUUGAUGCUCAUGCAUCUUGCUUUUCUCUUAUACAUUCUUUUGUUUUAAGCCAUGGAAUGGAAUAAAACAAGUUGCUCUUCUUAUUUGCAACCGUGAAUGCAAGUAGAUGUGUCCUCGAGUUACUGUCAAUUCAAAAAAUACCUUUCAUUUUUUGAAUUUUACUAGUAAGCAUCUUAAUUUUGUUCAUUCAUAUUGUCAUAAUAUAUAGAUCUAUAAAUUUAUAGUUAGAUUUAACAAAUAGAGUCGCCACCAAUCUUUUUUACUAGGUGUGAUUGGCCACCUAAGGAAUCUAUCAUUUUAAGGAGUUCCUAAGCUUGAUGAAGGGUCCCUAAAAGAAUAAGUUCGGGUCUACUAACUAGAACAAAGUUUGGGAGUCCGGUUACACAUGGAGAAGGUUAUAGCAUCCCUACAUGCCCAUCCGAAGGAUGGUAUUAUAUUAUUUUAAAUUUAUCCUAAGAUUUUGAGUCUAAUGAUUUCAAAUUUUAUGUUAAAUAUUGGAAAUAAUUUUUAAGAUUCUUCAUCAAUUUGGUAGAAAUCUUAAAAAAAAUAUUUCUUCACCUCAAAGAGUAUUCAAGAAUCCCAUUUAAUAUUUGAAGAGGCUCCAUUGUUGGAAAGAUUUUUGUUGGUUUUAUUUUUUUUUCGAAAAUAUAUCUAAUUAUUCCACCAUUUGGGUCAAAUUAAAAUUAUUUUCUCUUUUGAAAUUUCUAAAUUUUUCACCAUUUGAGCUUAUUUAGAAAUUCUUUUUUAUUAUUUAUUAUUUUUAAAAUUUUCACCAUUUAGGUCAAUUUAGAAAUUUCUUUUUUUUCUUUUUUUUUCUUGAAAGAAAAUAAUAUGACAAUUAUUUUUAUUAAAAUUUCAUCUAAAUUAUUCCACCAUUUGAGACAAAUUUAAAGAAAAUUUCUCACCUAGAGAUUUCUUAAAAAUUUACCAUUUAAAAUUUCUAAGACUCUCAUCCUUGGAUAAUUAUCAAAUAUUUUCAACCAAAUUUUUAUUUGAAAAAGAAUGCCAUUAUUUGUAUUGAAAUUUUAUCUAAAUUAUUCUACCAUUUGGGCUAAAUUUAUAAAAAAAUUUCUCACCUAAAGAUUUCUUAGGAAUUUACCAUUUGAAAUUUCUAAGAAUCUCAUCUUUAGGUAAUUUGUAUUUAAUUUCAAAAUUUUUAUAUUUUUAUGUUAUAAUUUUAUUUUUAUUUUUUUGUUUUGAAAAUAAAUAUUAAUUAUUGUCAUUAAAACUUUAUCUAAAUUAUUCCACUAUUUGGGACAAAUUUAGACAAAAUUUUUACCUAGAAAUUUUAUAGAAAUUUACCAUUUGAAAUUUUUAUAAAUUUCAUCAUUGGAUAAUUAAUAUUUAUUCCCAAAAUUUUAUUUUUUAUUAAAUUAAAUCAUGCGAAAAUACUAAGAAAAAUAAAUAAACACAUAAAAUAAAUAAAUAUAUAAAAUAAAUAAAUAAAAAAACCAAAGAACAGCUCAGCUUGCGGCUUGAAUUGGCUCAACUCGAGAUAGAGAAAAUGGCUCAAAAACACAGCUCAGGGGUGCGUGGCUCGGCUCAGCUCGACUAAAGGGCUGGCUGGAAUGCGGGUCGGUCAAAUAGGUUGGCGUUCGGGUUGGGUUAACCCAAGUAAAAAUGCAUGGAUCCUCUGGGAUUUAUUAAUGACAAAACGACGCCGUUUUGUAGUGGGUAUAUAAGCCCGAAUCUCAACUUUUUUACCAAAAUUCCCCUUCCCCUCUUUCUCUUCGCGUUUUUUUCUCUCCCCUCUCUCUACAAAAUCCCAAAAUCCGGUUGAAUGUUUUAUCAAAAACUAGGAAACAACUCUAGAAACUGGGAAAUUACAUUGGAAAAUAUGAAUCUCGCCAAAAAAUUGAUCGAAAUCUGGAAUUCUCCAAAAAAUUCCCCAAAAAAAAUCACCAAAAAAAUUCUAAAAAAUUCUUAAAAAACUCUAAAAUUGCUUUAGCCCUUCCAAACACUGUUUGCUUCUAUUUUCUCUUUUUUGUGUGUUUCUUUUCUGUUUAAGCAUAUAUUUAUAAGCUGAAUUAGAAGAAUUCCAACUUAACUCUAAGUCCUACCUUUGAUUAAAUUUUUGCCUUAUCCUAAAGAAAUUCAAUCCAUGUAUGAUUCUGCCACUAAUCGGCAGAACUUUCUUUUUUUUGUUGUUUUUUUUUUUUUCAUUAUCUUCUAGAAUAAAAAUUAUAUUAAAAUAAUAAUUAAAAUAAAAUUUAGAACAAAUAACCCAAAAAAUAGAAAAUAAAAAUAAAAAUAAAAUUGGGCCAAUUUACCUCAUUUGGACCAAGCCCAAUCGAUCAAGGCCUGGACCAAAUUGGGUGUUUACAGCUGCCCCUCUUUGCGCAUUUCUUAUGCAACAAGAAUUACGCAAAGAUGUAGACACCUGCACGUGACCUUCACAACAUAUUCAUCUUUUUUCAUUUUUUCCAUUUUUUUUGAAAAAAAUAAACAAAGCACCUCUAAACAGAGGCUCAACAACUUUGAAAAAUAAAUUGCUCCUCUAAACAGAGGUAUUGCGACUUUGAAAAAAUAAAUUGCUCUUUUAAGUAGAGGCACCACGACUUUGGAAAAAUAAAUUACUCCUCUAAACAGAGGCACCAUGACUUUGGAAAAUAAAUUGCUCCUCUAAACAAAGGAACCACGACUUUGAAAAAUAAAUUGCUCCUCUAAACAGAGGCACCACAACUUUGGAAAGUAAAUUGCUCUUCUAAACAGAGGCAACCACAACUUUUGAAAAUAAAAUGCUCAUUGACAAUCACGUCCAAAGGAGUUAUAGAUCAUGUCUGAAGAAAUUUUACUAGAUUAAGCCUAAAAGUCUUACAAAUCAUUCCUAAUAUCGAGAAAUAUCUUUUUUCAAGGAUUAAAAUCUUACCUCACAAGCUUCUUAUCAAAUGAGAAUUUGAAACUCUUUCAUCAAAAAGUUUUCACAUCUAUCAUCUUUAUGUGGGAUCUUGGAACAUCCCUACACUAGACCUUUUCAAAUGCAGUGUAUGCUAUGCACUAGACAUUUAAAAAUGCAAUGCAUGCUAUGCAAAUACUGGUUAAUUAAUUUCCAUUCAAUUGUGGUACUCAAGUUUCUCAAACUCCUUUCUUAGGCCCCAAACCCCUCAAUCUUUAAGUACUAUAGCCAAAUCAAUGUAACUCUUAAUCAUUUUUCUCAUUUAAUUCUCAUUUUUUCUAUUUCAAGAAAUCUCUUUCCAAAUUCAAUGCCCUUAUCAAGAACUGAGCAUUUCAAAUUUGCCUUUAUCAUUCUCAACUUUUCUAAUGUAAUGUAAAAAUCUUUCAUGCUAUUAUUCAUUUAUCAAUCAUUAUUUCAAUCUCAAAAACUAAGAAUGCAUUCACACAUUUCAUCCAUUGUAAGGUAUUGAAGAGAAAAUAGUAAGAAUGGCUAGGAAAUAAUCAAGAGAAGAGACACACAAAGAAUGAAAUGGAAUGUCAUUUAUUAGCAAAAAUGAUAACAAACUUGGCCAGUGGGUAAAGAAAGAAUUACAAAGAUAUAUAUGAGGGACAAUGCCCAAAAAUAAACAAUUAGACAAUCAUGAUAACAUAUCUCGAAAUCUUUUCGAAAAAUUUAACCACCUGAUACAUUUAACAACUUAGAACUCCUCAUAACAUGCUAGCCUCUUUGCUAAUGAAUUUUUAAAUUUGAUGCUAUAUUCUCCUUAUCUAAGUUACCUUUUUAGGUUUUUAACUUAGAUAACUUCUCUUUUGAUUCAAACUACCCUUUUGGAGGUUUUCGCCUUAAGUCCUCUUUUUUUUUCUUUUUUUAUUGUUUUUUCUCUUUUUUCAAGUGUAGUACUUCUUUACAGCAUUAAAAUUUAUAGGAUAAGGUAAAUCAUCUCCAUCCAUCUCAGCUAAUAUUAACGCUAUACUCGAGAAAACUUGUUUCACGACAUAUGGCCUUUCCCAAUUCAGAGUUCACUUUCCUCUAUUAUCAUGCUAGCUUGGGAGAAUUCUUUUUAAGACUAACUCUCCUUUUUCGAAAAUAAUGAAGUCAUACUUUUUUAUCAUGAGCCAUCAUCAUUCUUUUUUAUUAUAGCUAACCAUGGCAUAACGCUGUCAAUCUUUUUUCUUCAAUGAAAUUUAACUAUUCAUAGUGCUCUCGAAUUCAUUUAGCCUAUUCUAGUUUAACUUUCUUUAAAAUCUUCAAAGAUGGGAUCUCUAUUUCUACUGGCAGUAUAGCUUCUAUCUCAUAAACCAAAGAAAAUGGGAUUACUCUUGUAAAGGUACGCACUGACAUCCGAUAAGCAUACAGUGCAAAUGGUAACUUUUUAUGCUAGUUUUUAUAGGUCUUAGUCAUCUUCUCAAGAAUUUUUUUAUACCUAUUAACUGCCUUAAUUGUCCCAUUCAUUUUUGGAUGGUAUGACACUGAAUUAUGAUGCUUGAUCUUAUAUUGGGCAUAUACUUCUUACAUCAUCUUGCUAUUCAAGUUCUUGGCAUUAUCUGAAAUAAUUAUCUUCAAAAGUUCAUGUCUGCAAAUGAUCUAUCUUUUUAUGAACUUACAAACCAUAGAUUGUGUUACAUUUCUAAAUGAUGCUAGCUCUACCCAUUUCGUGAAGUAAUCUAUCAUCACGAAAAUAAACCUAUGCCCAUUAGAAGAUUUUGGGGUAAUAGGACCAAUGAUAUCUAUGACCCACAUAGAAAAUGGCUAGGGUGGUGCCAAAACAUGUAAAGCAGAUGAUGAAACAUGAAUCUUACAGUAUAGAUCUGGCACUUGUAACAUUUUUUUACCAUAGUUAAUGUAGUCUAUCUCAAUUGUCAACCAAUAGUACCCUACUCUCAUGAUUUAUUUUACCAUCAUAUGUCCAUUGGCAUGUGCCCCACAUAUUCCAUCAUGCAUCUCUUCAAUAAUUUUCUUAACCUUGACCUUAUUUACACACUUCAAUAAUACUUGAUCAUGGCUUCUUUUGUAAAUAACAUCUUUAUCUAGGAAGAAACUCCUAGCUAAUCUUCGGAUGACUUUUUUAUCAUUUUAGUUGCCUGGAUUGGGUAUUGUUGGUUUUUAAUGUAUUACAAAAUAUCAUAAUACUAGGGUGUCCCAUCCUUCUCUUUUUCUACAUUAGAACAGUGAGCUAGCAUGUCCUUGACAUCUAACCCAAUGGGCUGAAUGUCAACGCUAUCAUUAAUUCAAACCAUUGUUACUAAAGUAGAUAAGGCAUCAGCAAUCAAAUUCUCUUUUCGAGGUAAAUGAUCAAAUUGAAUAUCUUCAAAUUGCUUGAUCAACUAUAGGAUAUACAUGCAAUAUAGAAUGAGUUUUGAAUCUCUCAUUUCUCAUUCUCUUUUCAAUUGAUAUAUAGCUAGAGCUGAGUCUCUAAACACUUUUAAUGCUUUAACACUUUUGUCUAUAGCAACUUGUAAACCUAUAACACAUGCCUUAUAUUCAGUGAUGUUAUUUGUGUAAUUGAAAUACAAUCUCCCUGUCAUAAGAUAAUGUUAUUCUUCUAGAGAAAUUAAGAUUGCUCUAAUUUCAUAUCCUAAGGCAUUAGUAGCUCCAUCAAAAUACAUUUUCCAACGGUUCUCUUCAUGCCCUUUUUUUUUCAGCUGGAAAACAAUCACCAAAUCUUCAUAAAAAAAUUCCAAUCUCAUUGGCUCAUAAUCUUCAAUAGCAAAAUCUACGAGAAACUUAGCUAUAACACUUUUUUUAUUACUUUUUGGCUUACAGAUACAAUAUCAUACUUUGAGCAUCACUUGUCAUCUGGCAAUUCUUUCAAACUAAGAGGGCUUAUUGAAGAUUAUUUAAUUAGAUCCAAUUUUACUAUAAGCUAGGUGGUAUGAUAGAACAUAUAUUGUCUAAGUCUUUUGGCCAUUAAUUCAGGACAAUGCCUAUUGUAACCUCUUCAAAUUCUACUAAUUCACCUGCCAUUACUUCAUCGAGACCAUGAAUACGAGCAAUGUCGUCGCCCACUUGAAGUACGAUACCAGUAUUUACAAUCUUUACUUCUCUAUUAUAUUGCUUAAUACAUUCACGGAUAAUAUUACUAAUUUUAUCAGCUUUAAUAGUUACCACGAGUAUUUCCUAAUUAUUUUUUGGAAGAAAAAAAUAAUGCCUAUUGCUUGAUCAACUCUAUGAUAUACUUGCAAUAUAGAAUGAGUUUUGAAUCUUUUGUCUCCCAUUCUCUUUUCAAUUGAUAUAUAACUAGAGCUGAGUCUUUAAACACUUUUAAUGCUUCAACACUUCUGCCUAUAAAACUUGUAAACCUAUAACACAUGCCUUAUAUUUAGCGAUGUUAUUUGUGUAACUGAAAUACAACCUCCCUGUUAUAAGAUAAUAUUGUUCUUUUGGAGAAAUCAAGAUUGCUCCAAUUCCAUGUCCUAAGGCAUUAGUAGCUCUAUCAAAAUACAUUUUCCAAUGGUUCUCUUUAUGCCCUUCCUUUUUUAGCUGGAAAACAAUCAUCAAAUCUUCAUAAAAAAAUUCCAAUCUCAUUAGCUCAUAAUCUUCAAUAGCACGAUCUGCGAGAAACUUAGCUAUAACACUUCUUUUUAUUGGUUUUUAGCUUACAUAUACGAUAUCAUACUUCAAGCAUCACUUGCCAUCUAGUAAUUCUUCCAGACUAAGAGGGCUUCUUGAAGAUUAUAUAAUUGGAUCUAAUUUUACUAUAAGCCAGGUGGUAUGAUAGAGCAUAUAUUGUCUAAGUCUUUUGGCAUUCCAAGCUAAUGCAUAACACAUUUUCUUCAAAAAAAAAAUACUUGGACUUGUAUUAUGUGAAUUUUUUACUCAGAUAGUAAAUAGCUCUCUCUUUUCGGCUAGACUCAUCUUGCUACCAUCGCACACAUCCUAUUAAAUUCUCACACACUGUCAGAAAUAAAAUUAAAGGUCUCCUUGAAACAAGCGGUACAAUACUAAAAGAUUUGACAAGUAUUGCUUAAUUUUAUCAAAAGUCAUUUGACAUUCCUCAUUCUAUUCUCCAGAAUUAUUCUUACGAAGAAGCUUAAAUAUGGGAUCACACUUAUAGGUAAGUUGAGAGAUGAACCGAGAAAUAUAGUUCAAUCUAUCCAAAAAACCUUGAACUUCUUUUAGUGUGCUUGGAGGCCACAAAUUUUGAAUGGCCUAUAUUUUAUUAAGAUCAACUUUAAUCCCUCUUUCAUUGACUACAAAGCCUAGCAACUUCUCUGACCUUGCCCCAAAAGUGCAUUUCAUUGGGUUUAGCUUAAGUUGGAAUUUCUUCAACCUUUCAAAUAGCUUUCUGAGGUUGGUGACAUAAUCUUCGUCUUAUCGAGAUUUUACAAUCAUAUCAUCUACAUACAUCUCAAUCUUUUUGUACAUCGUGUCAUGAAAGAGCAUCACCAUUACUUUUUGAUAUGUUGUCCUCGCAUUUUUUAGACCAAAGGGCAUUACUUUAUAACAAAACAUUUCUUACAUGGUCACGAAAAUGAUUUUUUCCACGUCAUCUUUAGCCAUCUUUAUUUGGUUAUACCCUGAGAACCUAUCCAUAAAGGAGAACAUUGAAUGUUUAGCUAUAUUGUCUACCAACGUGUCAAUAUGAAGUAACGAAAAGUUAUCCUUUAGGUUAGCCUUAUUCAAAUUGCAAUAAUCUAUGCAUAUUUGUACCUUUUUAUCCUUCUUAGGAACUGGUACAAUGUUGACUACCUAUUCUGGAUACGUGGCCACUUGUAAGAAACCUACAUCAAACUAUUUUUUCACCUUUUUUUUUUUUUAUCUUUAGUAACAUUUUAGGUUUCAUUCACCUUAGUUUUUGCUAGACUAGCUUACACUCGGGCUUUAAAGGUAGUUUAUGCUUUACUAUUUUUGUACAGAGCCUAGGUAUAACUUGAUAAGACCAACAAACACAUCUACGAAUUCUCAAAGUAGAUUUUCAAAUCAUUGCCUAUCUAUCGAUGACAGUGACAUGCCAAAUUUAACUUUUUCUUAUUCUCUUUAUCUCCUAAAUUCACCAAUUCAAUCAUCUCCUAAUGAGGCUCAAUUGGUAUACUUUCUUGUUCAAUCAAUCUCAUUACAUUCAGAGGAAUACAUAUUUUUCAAUUUCAUCUCCAUUAUCAAGUGCAUCAAUGUUAAUUGAUUUUUCAAAAUUAACCCUUUGAUCAUUAUCAUAAUUAUUUUUCUAUUCAUUUAAGGACCUGAAAGUAAAUGAAAUGGGAUAUAAUGGCGAAAUGUAUGGGAAAAAUGAAAAAAAAGUACUAAAAGAAAUGAAUGAAAAUGCAUUUUCUUAAUUUUUAUUAAAAUAAUAAUAGAUAAAUGGCCUAAACAAGAAAACCACCCUAAAGCCUUGAGCAUAAGCUAUUGGGAUGUUCAAUUACAUUGAAUUGGUAUCAAGGAUAGUAGGCAUUUCAAUAAUGCUCCAAUUGUUUAGCUCAUAAUUUGGUGGAUAAAGACGAGCCCACGUUUUCUUCUCAUACCCAUUUUCAUCUUCGAUCGUUUGGAUGGACAACUUAGCAAAUAUCUUCUUUAUGCUUAGUUCAGAAUCUUUUUUCGCAUCUGAGUACAUGAAUCCUUCAGGCCUGAAGGUCUUAUACAAGUGUAUGAUGAUUAUUGUUGUUUUGUUGGCCUAUUUUCCCCUAGUUUCUUAAUCUUUUGUUCAUAACCAAGACCCAAUCUUUCCCUAUUAUCCAUAAUUGUCGGAGGCUUCUUUAUCCCCUAUAAAUUUUUACCUAGUCUUACUCUAAAAUACCAACUUUUGUUGAUGACUUAACACAUCAUUAUUUUUGAAAAAUGUUGGUUUUUGGGUCUCUUACCCAUAAAAUUAACUAACUCAAAUGAUAGGUAAAAAUAUUCCAUCACUUCUUUAGUAGUUUUUACAUAAGGAGCAUUCAGUGGCUGGGUUACCAGCAUGUCUUUCUUCCCAAACACUACCACCAACUAACCCUUUACAUUAAACUUGAUAUUUUGGUGCAGGGUAAAAAGAUAGCAUCUGUCAUGUGAAUCCAUGACCUUUCCAGCAAGUAGCUAUAAGUUAAGAAGAUAUCCAUUACUUAAAAUUUUACACUGAAAGUGUAUGGCCUAAUUUAUAAGGGCAUUUUUAUAUCUCCUAGAACUUCUUGUUUGGUCCCAUCAAAUGCUUAGACAACUAUUUAGCUAUCCUUCAUAUAUGAGUAAUCAACAGGUAGCUUUGCCAAAGUUGACAUAGGCAUGACAUUAAUAGCAAAAUCAUUCUUGAUGAGAACUUUGGCUAUAAUGAUGGCUCUUGCACUUGACAGUGAUAUGCAGAGCCUUAGUGUUUUCCAUUCUUUCUGAAGGAACUUCGUUAUCACUAAAUGAAAUGUAGUUCAACAUGAUCAAAUUUUUAGCUAAGUGGUUCACGUAUUCAACAGAUAUAUUAUAUGCCAUAUAUGCCUGAUUUAAUACUUUCAGUAAGGCAUUUCGAUGUGGUUUCAAAUUCAAUAAUAGCGAUAACAAUGAGAUUCAUGUCAGCAUCUUAUUUAACUAUUCCACUACUGAGUAUUCAUUAUGUUUGAUCACUUUUAGGAAUUCAUAAGCCUUAUUUCUAACAUUGAUUUUGGGCAAUCCUUUUUAGGUACCAUUUUUGGAUUAUUUCUUUCUUCACCUUUCUUGGCUUUUUUUUUUCUAGCCCUUUUCAGCAUUUCUAAAGUGUAGCACCUUUCGCUUUAAGUGAUGCCUUCACACUAGUUGGAUUGGCAGUAUUAGGCUUAGAGACAUUCUCAUCUUGCCCCUAGACUAUUGUGUCAUAUCUGUAUUUCUAUGGCACAACUCUAUUGCUCUUAUAAGGGAAUGAAACAUGGACUUUAAAGGUUACUAGCCUAUGAGCGAACUUGUCUAUGGUCGACUUUGGCCUAUCCCCAUAAUAAAUUGUUAACGAUCUUGGAAAUAGUUUGGGUGGUUGAUCGGUCAUAGACACAUCAGCAUUCUUUGAAUUAUUUUUUUCCUUAUAAAAUUGAAUCUGAUAUGAAUCCAUAAGCUUUUGUACCUCUUGAUGAAAUUGCUCACAGGCUUCGAUAGAGUGGCCAGAUGCCCCACUAUGAUAUUUAUAGAUUUUUCUUGUUACAUAUGCCUCAUAAUAAGUGUAUGGACUCACUGGUUGUAUCAUAUCGACUUUUCAUAAAGCAUCAAAUAACUGGCUGAGAUAGGUUUUAAUUUUUGCCAUUUUUUUUCAAUUGACGAUCCCACUCCUCACUUAGAGCAUUCACAUUAUGAUUUGACAAAGAAUUAUCACUAAUGUUUGGUGCAGUUACCCAUCUUGUAUCAAAAUUGAUCAUUCUAUCUUUAAUUAAUCGUUGUAUUUUAUGCUUCAGGGUAGUAUAGCUCUUGAUGGAAUGGCCAGUAAUCCCAUAAUGAUAGUCAUAAUGGGCUAUAAGAUCAUACCAUUUAGGGUAGGGUGGCUUAAGUGGUUUCACUUGACUAAAAGUAAUCAAGUGAUUAUUGUAAAGCUUUCGAUAUAACUUCAUAUAAGUCAUAGGGACCGGAUCGAAUACAGAUUUUUUGUAAGUAGUUCAUUACUUUCAUGAACCACUUGUUGGGCUAAUAGGACGAGUCUGAGGUUUUGAAGAAAGUGGAACAUCAAGACUGUAUGUGGCAGUCUAAGGUCUGAAAGGGGAUUGAUAGGUUUGGGUGUAAGGUGGCUAUAGGUUUGACUAGUACUGGUAAGAAGAGGCAUUAUUCACAGUAGAAUGAUAUAGAAAGUAACAUUGUAGUGUGUAGGAUUGAUAAUCCCUGAAUUAUUGUCUAUCAAAACUCACAGUUUAAGCUUCAAUCUUUUUCUUCUUUAGGGCUAUUUUAGUAGAUGCCUCCCCUCCCUCUAACUUGCCAUUCUUGAUGCCACUCUCAAUGAUUUUGCCAAAGAUCAUCAUGUCAAUGAAAUUCUUUAUUGUAUUCGCUAUCAUCUUCUCAUAAUAAGAAGACUUUAGAGUGCUAACAAACAACACUAUAGUUUUUUUCUAAAUCAGAAGAGACUACACUUGAAAAGCUACAUCCCUCUACCUCUAGACGUAUUUCUUAAAGGAUUCAUUUACCUUUUUCUCCAUGUUUUGCAAGGACAAACAAUUAGGAGCCAAAUCCAUAAUAUGUCAGUAUUGAUUGAUGAAGUCAUGGGCCAUAUCGCUCCAAGAUCAUAUGCAAGUUUUGUCCAACUAGAUAUACCACUUAAUGGUAAAGCCCGUAAGGCUAUCUUAAAAAACAUGUAUUAGUAGCUUUUUAUUGUGAGCAUAGGCUGCCAUCUUUCAAUAGUACAUAGUGAUAUAAGUCUUUAGGCACUUCGUAUCAUCAUAUUUCUUAAAUUUUGAUAUUUUAAACUUCGAAAGAAUAACCACAUUCGAAAGACUAAGCAAAGCCCAACAACAUCGAUAAAACCAUGAAAACUAAUUCCUUCUACAGCCCGUAACCUUUGUUCUAGUAUACAAAUCUUUGAGUCUUUUUGAGAUUCAACUACUUUUUUUUUUUCUCUUUUUCUUUCAGUUCAUCUAAAUCAAGAACUUAAGUUGGUUCUACUACUUUUUCAGUAAAGACAGGAUUCAUAUAGCUAUGGUUAUGUCUUGGGUUUAAAGCUAAUGGCAUUCCAGGAUACAUAGGAUAUAUGAAUUGUUGUAGUGAAACCUCAUGUGUAGACUAGGCUUGAUGUGGAUCAAAACUAGAUGGAUAUAAGGGGUCAGUCACUUUUUUUUAUGAAGGGUCCUAUUGGCUUGUGUUCUCUUCUAUCCUCUUUCCCUUGUUUAACUUGUUGAGAGCAUCCAAAAUCUUACUUAACUCAUUUUCAAGCUUUUUCUUUGCCUUUUCUAUCUUUUCAAGUUGAUGAGAGUUUUCUUAGUCCAUUUGUUUGGCUCUGGCUCUUGUGUUAUAUCAAUGAGUGAAGUUUCUGCUGGAUGGAGCUAUCUUUGAACCUUAAGUACCAUAAUUAUAUGAUUAUUAGAAAUUAUGUGUUCUAUGUAUGGUAUGCAAAUGUAUGCAUAAAAUAAACUAAUAUUUGCUACAUCACCACUAUUGAUAAAAGAAAUCUCCACUUAAAACUUUGUUUAAUAAAAUUUCAAAAUUACAUCCUAACAAAGUCAAAGCAAUGUUCUAAAGUCCUAAACAUCUUCAUUUGUUUCUAAUGUCUCCUUAUAAAUUUCAUAGCUUGUUGGUAAUGAUUUUGUGCUUCAUCUAGGAAAUUAAGCAAUUGUCACCCAUGUGCUCCCACUGAUUGCACCAUAGCCUUUAAAUCUUUCAAUUUUUUUUUCAUAUUUGAUACUUUAUCUGCAACAAUGCAUAGCUGAUUGAACAAAUGCCUUAGAUGCCUUUGUUUUUCUGUGUCAUAUAUCUUUUUAUAACACACUCUAUUUAGCUUGCCUUCUGCAUUCAUUAGACAAAGCUUCAACUUGUGCUGUGUGUCUAUUCACUAUCUUUUAUAGUAUCUGACUAUGUCUGUAUGCCCUAACAGUAGCUUUUUAUCUUUCAUCCACCCUCGCUUUUAGCAAUUCAUUUUCUUUUAAGAGUCGGGCAAACUCAAGUGUGACUGAUGAAUGUGUCAUGUCUAAAGCAUUAAAUAAGGCUUUCCAUUGGUCUUUCUGCUCCAUAAGGCUCUAAAUUUUUAGUUCUUGAAGCUUUGAACUCUUUUUCAUUUCUAACUUUAAUCAUUUAUUUUCUUGUUCUAACUCAUCUUUUUCGGUUUAGAGCUUUUUCUUAGCUGUUUCCAAUUUAACGAAAGGAUCUUGAAGAAUGGGCUUUGUGUAGACACCCUAUUCAGUCCAAACCCAAGCCCAUUGGGCCUGGUCCAAUAGGAUUUGGGUCUAAGCCCAUUGGACCCGAUUUAGGGUCCAAUUAGCUUACCCAAUGGACUUUUAUUUUUACUUUCAUUAUAUAUAUAUAUUUUUUAUCUAUUAAUAUUUUUAUUAUUUAUCUACUUUUUUUAUUAUCAUUUAUCUAUUUCUUUUAUUUAUCUAAUUUUUUUUUUGUUUUUUUGUUAUCUAUUAAUAUAUUUAUCUUUUUUAUUUUGAUUAAUUUUUAGUUUAGAUUAUGAUAAAAAAAUUAGAAUGAAUUUGGCUAUGAUUUGGGAAUUAGUAGAGUUGGGAUUGGAUUUAAAGAUUGAAUUCAAAUCCCAGAAAGAGUUGGGAUUGAUCAGAAACUCUUAUGAUCAAUCCCUAUAAAUAGGUGCUGGAAGAACAGAAGAAGACACACAGAAAAAAAACAGACACAGAGAAGAAACAGAAGCUAAAAAAGGGUUUUGGUGUGUUAGAAUCCCGAGCCGAGUCUCCGAGCUAUUUUUCUUUCUCAAGCCGAGUCGAGCUUUCUUAGGUGUUUUUUUUCAUUUUAUUUAUUUAUUUAUUAUUAUAUUAGGAUUGUUUAAUAUUUUAUUUUUAUUUUUAUUUAUUUGUUAUUAUUAUAUUAGGAUUGUUUAAUAUUUUUAUUUUUAUUUUUUUAUUUAUUUUAUUUUCUUUAAAUAAAGAUAAAAAAAUAUUUUUUCUUAAAAAUAAAUUUUCAGAAAAAAAAGUUUUGAGAAAAAGUUGAAAGUAUCAAUUUUUCUCGAAAUUAAAAGUUUCCAAAAAAUAUUUUUAGGGAAAAGUUAAAAGUAUCAAUUUUUCUAGAAAUUAAAGUUUUCAAAAAAUAGUUUUGCGGAAAAGUUGAAAGUAUGAAUUUUCCUUAAAAAUAAAUUUUCAAAAAAGGUUUUUUGAAUGUAAAGUAUCAAUUUUCCUGAAUUAAAAGUUUUAAAAUCAUUUUUGGGGAAAGUUGAAAGUAUCAAUUUCUUAACUAAUUUUUAAAAGAUUUUUUUGAGGAAAAGUUGAAAGAUAUCAAUUUUCUCGAAUUAAAGUUUUCACAAAAUAUUUUGAGGAAGUUGAAGUAUUCAAUUUUUUUUAAAGAUAAAUUCAAAGGGAUUUUUAAGGAAAGUUGAAAGUAUCAAUUUUCUUGAAAAUAAGCUUUCCACAAAAAAUAUUUAUCAAAAAUUGAAAUAUCAAUUUUUUCUGAAAUUAAAGUUUCCAAAAUAUUUUGGGGAAAAGUUAAGUAUCAAAUUUUCUGCACAAAAGGAGUAAUUUUUUUCUUUUUAUUUUUUUUAAAUAAUCCGACGAUGGAGCCUCUGCAAGUGAAACAGUAGUUUUCUUACAUACUCUUGAGGUAAGGGAAUUUUUUCAAUUUUUUGCUAAAAGUUUUAGAGUCAAUUGAGAAUAAUUUCCAAUAGCUAAUUACUUGGUAAAAUUUUAAGGCUUAUUGGAUAAUACAAAAUUAUGCUGGUACCAUCUUUUGAUGGGCGUUGUGAGGGUGCUAUAACCUUCCUCACACGUAACUGAACUCCUGAACUCUAUUCUGGUUAGUAGAUCCAAACCUAUUCUUUUAGGAACCCUUAAACUUAGGUGUUCCCUAAAAGGAUAGAUUCCUUAAGUGGCCAAUCGCACCUAGAUAGAAAAAGAUUGGUGGUGACUCUUUAAGUCAAUGUCUAAUGAUAGAUCCCCGGAUCUAGACGUUAUGAUAGCUUGGCGACUCCACUGGGGACUCUGAGAGUCAGGCCAGCAAAUAAUUUAUGUUAUCAAAAAGCCUAAUAAAAUUAAACCUUUUUGUAUAUAUGUGUUAUUAUUCAUUCAUGUUUAUUUACUUUGUUAAUUAUGUCAUUCAUAUGCAUAUGCAUAACAUGAGCUCUAUACCCAAGCUCCGUCUCUCUAGGAGGGAAGUAAAGUACCUAUUGCUUUCAUGAGGUCUAAUGCCUCUGCAGUGGCUAGCGAAAUACUCCCAUUCAAAUUGAACCUUUUUUCGCUUGUAGCCUGUAAUGGGUGAGGAUUAGGGUGCUUUACUAGUCUGUAAUGGACAAUGAUGCAAGGAGCAAUUUGGAAACCUUUAAAUUUUAGCCUUGAACCAUAUAUAGUGAACCUUAGAGGUGCCUAAACCUAGGAUAGAGCUCUUUCUAUCCAAUGAUAGAUAUACCCUGAAAUUAAGACACAAAAAGGGUGUUUAUCUAAUCAUUUUAAUUAUUUAACUUUGUGCAUCAUUUUCAUUAUCAUAUGUAACAUUAUGCAUCAGCAUCACUUUCAUUUCAUUCAUGGAACUAACUAUGUUGUUUGUCUGAUUGUAUGCAUCUGCAUUACUUUCAUGAUCAUGUUUUAACAUAAUCAUUUGCAUCCAUUUCACAUUAGAUUUCAUUCAAAAAAAUAUACAUUUUAUUCGUGCAUCAAAGCAUCAUACAUAAAGCAUAGCAUAACAUUUCUAAUCAUAAUUAUGGUGCAAAAAGUUCAGGGAUAACUCCAUCUAACAAGAACCCUGUCCAUCGAUACAAUACAAGAUCCAGAACCAGACAAAUGGAGCAAAAAAAUUCUCACAGAUUUUAAAAGAUAGAAAAAGCACAGGAGAAGAUGGAAAAUAAGUUGAGCAAGAUUUUAGAUGCUCUCAAUAAGAUGAAUAAGAGAAAAAGAAUUGAAGAAAAUACAAGCCAACAAGUUCUCUCAUUGCAAGAAGUGGCUGAUCCUUUGUAUCCUCCAGGUUUUGGCCUACCUUAAGCCCAAUCUGCAUAAGAGGUUCUACCACAACACUUCGCAUAUCCAACAUAUCCUAGAAUGCCAUCAGCUUCCAACCCAAGGCAUUAUCAUAGCUAUGUAAAUCCUAUUUUUAUUGAAAAGGCAGUAUAACUAAUUUCUGACCUAGAUGAUUUGAAAAAGAAGGAGAAAGAAAAGAUAAGGGUGGAAACUUAGGAAAGCUCCAAGAUUAGUAUGCUAGAACAAAGGUUACGGGCUGUGAAAGGAUUUGGUUUCUAUGGUUCAGUUGAUGCUGCUAGGCUCUGCUUAGUCCCUGAUGUGGUCAUUCCUCAUAAGUUCAAAGUAUCAAAAUUUGAAAAAUAUGAUGGUACGAAGUGCCCCAAAACCCACAUCACCAUGUAUUACCGAAAAAUGGUAGCUCAUGCUCAUGAUGAAAAACUUUUGAUGCAUGUCUUUCAGGAUAGCCUUACAGGCUCAGCGGUCAGGUGGUAUGUUCAGCUGGACAGAACCCGCAUUCACUUUUGGAGCGAUAUGACCCAUGAUUUUAUCAGUUAAUAUCGACAUAUCAUGGAUUUGGCCUCUAAUCGUUUGUCUUUACAAAACUUGGAGAAAAAAGCCAAUGAGACUUUUAAAGAGUAUGCCCAGAGGUGAAGGGAUAUUACUUCUCAAGUACAGCCUCCUCUGACUGAGAAAUAAACUACAGUGUUGUUUGUCAGCACUUUGAAAUCUCCAUAUUAUAAAAAGAUAAUAGGGAAUGUAAUAAAGAAUUUCGUCGACAUGGUGAUCUCUGGAAAAAUUAUUGAAAGUGCCAUAAAAAAUGGCAAGUUAAAAGGAAGAGAAACUAAGAAGGCAUCAGAAAAGAAAGAAGCUCAAGCUCAAGCUAUGAGCUUUGAUAGACAAUAAUUCAGGGGUUAUCAACCUUAUCCACCCCAAGGUUACUCUUCAUACUAUCCUGCUGUGAAUAAUACCUCAUCUUACCCAUACCAGCUAGCUCCACAACCACCUUAUUCAUCCACAUACCGAUCAAUUUUUAGCCCUCAAGAUCUUACAUAUAGCCUUAACAUUCAAGUUCUUACAAGAACCCAAAUUCGCUCUACUAACCUAGCAAGUGGUUCACGAGAAUAACGGACUACUCGAAAAAGACCUGUAUUUGAUCCAAUCCUUAUGACUUAUACAGAGUUAUAUCGAGAACUCUAUAAUAGCCAUUUGACUACCUCCAACCAUAUGGAGCUGUUUAAGCCACCUUAUCCAAGUGGUAUGAUUUUAUAGCCAACUACGACUACCACUAUGGAAUUACUAGCCAUUCUAUUGAAAAUUACACUACUUUAAAGCAUAAGGUGCAACGGUUAAUCAAUGAUGGAAUGAUAAGUUUUGAUCAAGGAAAAGCAACAACACCUAAUGUUAACACUCUGAGUGAAAGCCAAGAACAGAAAGGGUCCGGAGAGUCACAAUGAAUUAAGGGGCAAAAUGUCAAUAGAGAUUCUUCACCUGAUCGCAUAGGGGGACAAUUUUGAAGAAUGGAGAUAAGGCUGGUUAAAGGUUUUUUUUUUUUUUAUCAUUUUAGGAUUUCUUUUCGAGUAAUGUUAGAUUUCUUUUUGCAAUAUGACUUCACUUGUUAUCAUUUUAAUAAAGGCAAGUUAAUGCAUUUCAUUACAUUUUCUCUUUCACUCGACCAUUACUCCAUGCUCUGUUACCUUUUAUAAAUUUACAUUCCCAUUCUCAAAUUUCAGAUGAUGAAUAUUUAGACAAUGAUAACAAUAAUUCUAGGAUUUAAUUUUAAGAACUCAUCCAUGUUAAUAUGAGGAGAUGAUUUGAGCAAAAAAGUAAGCUGUUACCAGAGGUGAAGUAGAUAUGUCUUGAAGAUAUGCAAUCUUUUAUACAGGUUCAUGAGCUUUGUUCAAUAGAUGAUGUUCAAGAAAGGCAUUCACAAUUGAGAUGAAAAAUAGCCAUAUUUUUUUUACCAUUCGAAAAACUAUUUAUUGUUACCCCUUUGAGCCUAUUAUGAUUUCUUUUUCUGAAGAACCCCAACCAAGGAUCACCCUCUACACUGGAGGGUAAUUUUUGAAAAAAAAAAUCAUAAAAGCUCUCAAAGAUGGAAAGAGAAAGAAAAGCAAAAGAAAAAAAUAAAUGCCACACAUGAUUUGGGGUAAAAUAAUGAGAAUCCUUUGUGUGAGAAAAAAAAAUGGUGAAAUGAUGUGGGGCAAAAUGCCAAGUUGCAUCAAAUGAUCAUUGGUUUUGAACCUUUUUAAUACAUGUUUUGAGCCUAUUAUGUCUAUUUCUUUCAUAACCCUUCACUUUGACCUACGUUACAACCUUGAAAAGUCCAUUUGGAUCAAGUGUGAAUGCUCAAAUUGAAUGAUCAUAUAUUGGGCAAAGACAUGCUCAUGAUGAAACAAUGGAAUCAUGCUACAUUACUCUAAAGUUUGAUGUAUGAAAGAUAUCAACAAUGGAUGAAAAAUGAAAAAAAAAGAUGAUGAAAAGAAAUAAAAAAUAAAAAAAAAAAGAAAGAAAAUGAAAAAAGAUAUUCAAAUUGAAAACCUGAAAGGGUGAUUUUGGUAGAAAAAGAUUCAGGUCAAAUGGUUCACAUGGAUGGAAGAUCAACGACAUCUGAAGACCCCUCAAAGAUUGGGACAAAGUUCGCCAAGCUCAAAAUGACUCCAACAAUAAAUGGAAUGAGUUUUUGAAAAAGAAUCCUAGAUUAAUGUUAAGAAUUGUCUGAAUAUUCAUCAUUUAGACAUACCAUUCAUCCCUAUGACAUGUAUCCAAUUUAUUUCCUUUCCCAUUUGUUUUGUACCAAAAUAGUUCUUCAUUGAUUAUCUUUACCAUAAUUCACCUUGUGUUCUCUUAUUGUUACACCCCUAUAAUGAAUUGAGAGAAUAUCUGAUUGCAUUGUAUUUGUCAAGAAUUGAAAUGAUAAUGAAUGAAUGAAUAUGUGUUUAAAAGAGUCUUGCAUUCAUUUGAAAAGAAAUCUAAGAUGAUGGUGGUAACAAAAUGAAAAAAUGGUAGAAACCUAAAAGAGAUGAUUUGGAAGGAUAUAUGAUGUGACCAAAUGGAGAAUAUGAUGGGGCAAAUCUUGAAAAGUGGUAUAACUAAGUGAUGAGCACAAGGAUGAAUUGGUCGAUAUGACUUGCAAGUUAUGAUUGAAUGAUGAAAACAAUCAGUGGACAAAGUUUGUUUUGGAAUGGUUAAUGCUGAGACACCUAUGAGUAAUGACUCAGUGAUGGUGGAUGAAACUUGUUCUGAAAUUUUUUUAGUGUUGAGACGUCUAUGAAUGGUGGUCAAGUGAUGAUCGAUUGAUGAAACUUAUUCCAAAGUAUUGAGAAACUGAACAAGGAAGACAUACAAAAUGGUGGAGUUUUGAGAGCCAUAUUACCACAAUUAUUUAGGAUUUCAUGACAUUAUUGACAUUCGCAUUACAUGCAUCAUGGUGGCAUCAUCGCUUGAAUAGUACAUGCACAUAAUUUGAUGAAUUAAACUUUGUUUGGACAUGCAUGGCACUAUGAAAAUAUAGGUUGCCGCGUUUGCAUCAUUAAGAAGGUAUUUGCAUCUUUGGUCAUAACAUUCAUUCAUGCAAAUUUUUGAGUCACUUGAAAAAAAAAUUGUGAAUAUUUUGAUGAAAAUUUUUGAGAACUCAAAUGAGAAUCUUUGAGGAGUGAAACCUUAAAGUUUGUCGAAUGUGAAUCGUCGAACAAAUUUUUGAACUUUUGGAUGUGAAUCUCCAAAAUUCAAAUGAAAAGCUUUAGAUUUUUGGAUAUGAAUUCCAAGUUUGCAAAAUGAGAAUCUUUGAAAAGCCUCAAACUUUUGGAUGUGAAUCUCCAAAAUUCAAAUGCGAGUCUUGCAAGUUGCAAAUACAAAUCUUGAGAUAUUGCAAAUUUGAACAAAACUGAAAUUUUGAGAAUCAAAUUUCAGUAAAUUCUUAUGAAGUUGGAAGGUUCUUACGAAUCUAAACCUCUGAAUGUUGAACUCAAAUUGUGAAUUCUUGAGUUCCUAUUACAAAAUUCCUUCAGUCACGAUCUAUAACUCCUUUGAAUAUGAUUGUUAAAGAGUAAUUUAUUUUCCAAAGUUUCGUUGCCUCUGUUUAGAGGAGCAAUUUACUUUCCAAAGUCGUGGUGCCUCUGUUUAGAGGAGCAAUUUACUUUUCAAAAGUCGUGGUGCCUCUGUUUAGAGGAGCAAUUUACUUUUCAAAAGAGCAAUUUACUUUUCAAAGUCAUGGUGCCUCUGUUUAGAGGAGCAAUUUAUUUUUCAAAAGUCAUGGAGCCUCUGAUUAGAGGAGCUUUGUUUAUGUUUCUCAAAGUCAUUAAGCCUCUGCUUAAAGGAGAAAAAAAAACAAAACAAAACAAAAAAAAUAAAAAAAUAAAAACAAAAAAAAGUGUCAAGUUGAGUCUUAAAUGGGUAUCUACGUCUUUGCAUAAUUCUUGCUUAACAGAAAAUGUGUAAAGAGGGGCAGCUGUAGACACCCUAUUCAGUCCGGACCCAAGCCUAUUGGGCCUGAUCCAAUAAGAUUUGAGUCUAAGCCCAUUGGACCCGAUUUAGGGUCCAAUUAGCUUACCCCAAUGGACUUUUAUUUUUAUUUUCAUUAUAUAUAUAUUUUAUCUAUUAAUAUUUUUAUUAUUUAUCUAUUUUUUUAUUAUCAUUUAUCUAUUUCUUUUAUUAAUCUAAUUUUUUUGUUUUUUUGUUAUCUAUUAAUAUAUUUAUCUUUUUUAUUUUGAUUAAUUUUCAGUUAAGAUUAGGAUAAAAAAAUUGAAAUGAAUAUUUGGCUAUGAUUUGGGAAUUAGCAGAGUUGGGAUUGGAUUCAAAGAUUGAAUCCAAAUCCCAGAAAGAGUUGGGAUUGAUCAGAAGCUCUUCUGAUCAAUCCCUAUAAAUAGGUGCUGGAAGAACAGAAGAAGACACACAGAAAAAAAAAAGCAGACACAGAGAAGAAACAGAAGUUAAAAAAGAGUUUUGGUGUGUUAGAAUCCCGAGCCGAGUCUUCGAGCUAUUUUUCUUCCUCAAGCCGAGCCGAACCGUUCCCAAGUUUUUUUUUUUUUCAUUUUUAUUUAUUUAUUAUUAUUAUAUUAGGAUUGUUUAAUAUUUUUAUUUUUUAUUUUGUUUUUAUUUUAUUAUUUAUUUAUUUAUUAUUAUAUUAGGAUUGUUUAAUAUUUUUUUUAAUUUUUUAUUUUCGUUUUUUAUUUUUUAUUUUUAUUUAUUUUAUUUUCUUUAAAUAAAGUUAAAAAAAAUAUUUUUCCUUAAAAAUAAAUUUUUUUAAAAAAAAAGUUUUGAGGAAAAGUCGAAAGUAUCAAUUUUUCUUAAAAAUAAAUUUUCAAAAAAGGUUUUUUUUGAGGAAAAGUUAAAGUAUCAAUUUUCCUCGAAAUUAAAGUUUUCAAAAAAUAUUUUCGGGGAAAAGUUGAAAGUAUCAAUUUUCCUCGAAAUUAAAGUUUUCAAAAAUAUUUUUGGAGAAAAGUUGAAAGUAUCAAUUUUCCUUGAAAUUAAGCUUUCCACAAAAAAAUAUUUUUAGGGGAAAAGUUGAAAGUAUCAAUGUUCCUUAAAAAUAAGUUUUCAAAAAUGAAUUUUUGAGAAAAAAUUGAAAGUAUCAAUUUUUCUCGAAAUCAAAGUUUCAAAAAAUAUUUUAGGGAAAAGUUGAAAGUAUCAAUUUUUCUUGCAAAAAAACAGUCAUUUUUUUCUUUUUAUUUUUUUUAAAAUAAUCUGACGAUGGAGCCUCUACAAGUGAAAUAAUAGUUUUCUUGCAUACUCUUGAGGUGAGGUAAUUUUUUUAAUUUUCUGCUAAAAGUAUUAGAGUCAAUUGAAAAUAAUUUCCAAUAGUUAAUUACUUGGUAAAAUUUUAAGGCUUAUUGGAUAAUACAAAAUUAUGCUGGUACCAUCUUAUGAUGGCCGUUGUGAGGGUGCUAUAACCUUCCUCACAUGUAACCGAACUCCCAAACUCUAUUCUGGUUAGUAGACCCGAACCUAUUCUUUUAGGGACCCUUAAACUUAGGUGUUCCCUUGAAAGGAUAGAUUCUUUAGGUGACCAAUCGCACCUAGAUAAAAAAAGAUUGGUGGCGACUCUUUUAAGUCAAUGUCUAACGAUAAAUCCCCGGAUCUAGACGUUAUGACACUUUGAGGAGUCACUUAUUUGUUCACUAGGAAGCAUAAUGUCCUUACCCCUCCUCGCAUGCCACACACUAUAUUUUGGGGUGAUGUCGUAAGUAAACCUUCCUUGGUUAACCCUAAUGGUUUGCUUCCAUGCCUUUUUUAUCCUUUCAACCAUUCCAUAUGCUCCUUUAUUAGUGAAUAAGAACUCCCACUGGUUAAGUCCAUAAGUUUCUGAAAUGAAUUGCUCACAUCCUGAUUGUCUUCUCACUAAAGUUAAGGCAUAAGUAACAGCACCCCAUAGGCCUAAUAGGAACACCCAUGGUUGAUCCCCAUAAUUGUAUAACACUGUAUCAUGACGCUUCCAAAGUGCUUUCCAAACUAUCCUUUGACCAUCAAGGCUCAAAAGUAGGAAACCUAUUCUUCUUUUGACUUUGCUUGAGGUCAUGUGCUACAAUAAACUCCUUUAUUGGGAUACUAAAAUAAAGGUAUGGUUUACAGAACUAACUUUCUUUGCAUUCAAUGUGACUAUUCAUCCAUACAUAAAGUAACUGUAAGCACCCAUUGAAUUGACCUUUACCAUUUCGAUGACAAAAAUUUAGAAAACGAAUUGUUUUUGCCAAAGUAGUUGGUGUUGCAUUGACUUGGUAUGCUAACUGAUCAACAAAGUCUAUCACUGCGAUAUCAACAUACCCGAUGACUUUUGAAAAAAUCACUAGUCCAUAUAAAGCUAUAGCCAUAGCCACUAACCUUUGAUCAUCAUCCAUAUGCCCCUGGAUGAAAUCUCAUAGAAAACUUUAUAGGAUAGCCUUGCUUUCACCUUUUGUCUUGACACAUGCAUCAACUUAAUGCAAGCUAAGUCCAAGCAUUUGCACUAGCUUUUUAUGAUAGCCCACCUUAUUUAACUAGCAGAUCUUGUUCGGGUUUGGCAAAUCAAAACAAAGUAGGACCAUAUACUCUUCAAUUAUGGGCAUCAUGUUUGCUUCAUUGAAGAUGAAAUACCUAUACGGAAGGUCCCAAAAUUGGAUGAUGGCCCUAAUCAGAUUAUUAUCCACAUCCACUUGGAAUAGUGAUGCUAUGUCUCCAUAUCUAUUCUCAAAUGCUUCCUGCCUUGUUCUACUCAUGCAUCCCCAGACAUUACCUAAGUCAGCUAGAUCAUUUUGCUGUAGCUCGAGAUGAACUCUCUUAGGCAACGAUGAGAUAAAACCUUCAGGCAAACAAUUUUCUUAUUUUCUUUGACCUUUUUUUGACUUGAUUUUUAGUUAAUGAGCAUACUCAUAAUGGACUGAUGUAGACUUUGAUUACAUUUGACUUUCCAUAGAUAUAAGUGGAAGAUCUGAUUUAUCAAUAACUGAUAUGCAAGAAAUAUUUCUUAUUUGAGAAUGAUGCAAAUGAUAAUGUUAAAGCAUGAUCAUGAAAAAUAAUGCAUCGAAUGAAAUAAUAUGAUAAUGUUAAAACAUGAGGAUGAAAAUGAUGCAUAGAAUAAAAUGAUAUGAAAGAUGCAUAAAAUUAAACAAACAAAAUGAUUAGAUAACAGACUGUUCCUUCUUAUGUUCUAAUUUUGGGUUAUAUUUAUUGAUGGAUAAGAAGGGCUCUAUCCUAAGGUUGGCCUUUUAUAGGUGAAGUAUAUGCAGGGUUAAGUGAUUUUAACCACUAAAAGUUUUCAAAUUGUUCCUUACAUCAUCGUCCAUCAGAAAUUAGCAAGACAGUCAAAUCCUCACCCAUUACAGGCUACCAACAAAAAAGAUUCAAUUUGAGUAAAAGUAUUUCACUAGCCAUUGCAAAUAUUAUCAUCUUACAAGAACGUAAGUACUUUACUCCUUCUAAGAAAAACAGAGCCUGAGUAUAGAGCUCAUGAAAUGCAAAUGCAUGUGAUAAUGUAUGUGAAGGAACAUAUAGGUUUUAUGCCCCAAAAAUUAAAUACAAGAUAAAAAAAAUGUUAGUAAACCAAUAACACAAAUAAUCACAAUUUAAAACCAUUAGACCAAAGGAUAGGAUAAAUUCAAAAGUUAUGGCUUGACUUUCUAGUGUCCCCAAUGAAGUCGCCAUAAUGUCAUAACAUAUAGAUCCGUAAAUCUAUAGCUAGAUUUAACAAAUAAAGUCACCACCAAUCUUUUUUACUAUGUGUGAUUGGCCACCUAAGGAAUCUAUUCCUCUAAGGAGUUCCUAAGCUUGAUGAAUGGUCCCUAAAAGAAUAGGUUUAGGUCUACUAACCAGAAAAAAGUUUGAGAGUCUGGUUAUACAUUGGAAAUGUUAUAGCACCCUUACAUGCUCAUUCGAAGGAUGGUACUAUAUUAUUUUAAAUUUAUCAUAAGGUCUUGAAUCUAAUGGCUUUAAAUUUUAUGUUAAAUAUUGAAAAUAAUUUUUAAGAUUCUCCAUCAAUCUGGUAGAAAUCUUAAAAAAAAUAUUUUAUCACCUCAAGAGUAUUUAAGAAUCCCAUUUGAUAUCUUGAAGAGGCUCUAUCGUAGGAAAGAUUUUUGUUGGUUUUAUUUUUUAUUGAAAAUAUAUCUAAUUAUUCCACCAUUUGGGCCAAAUUAAAAAUAUUUUCUCUUUUGGAAUUUCUAAAUUUUUUACCAUUUAGGUCUAUUUAGAAAUUCUUUUUAAUUAUUUUUUAUUUCUAAAUUUUUCACCAUUUGAGUCAAUUUAGAAAAUUUUUUUCUUUUUUUUUCUUGGAAAGAAAAUAAUAUGACAAUUAUUUUUAUUGAAAUUUCAUUUAAAUUAUUUCACCAUUUGGGACAAAUUUAGAGAAAAUUUUUUACCUAGAGAUUUCUUAAAAAUUUGCCAAUUGAAAUUUCUAAGACUCUCAUCCUUGGAUAAUUAUAAAAUAUUUUCAACCUAAAUUUUUAUUUGAAAAAUAAUACAAUUAUUUUUAUUGACAUUUCAUCUAAAUUAUUCCAUCAUUUGGGCUAAAUUUAGAAGAAAUUUCUCACUUAGAGAUUUCUUAGGAAUUUACCAUUUUAAAAUUUUUAAGAAUCUCAUACUUGGGUAAUUUGUAUUUAAUUCCAAAAUUUUUAUAUUUUUAUAUUUUUUUGAAAAUAAAUAUUAAUUAUUGCUAUUAAAAUUUUAUCUAAAUUAUUUUACCAUUUGGGACAAAUUUAGACAAAAUUUUUCACCUAAAAAUUUUAUAGAAACUUACCAUUUGAAAUUUCUAUAAACUCCGUCAUUAGAUAAUUAAUAUUUAUUCUUAAAAUUUAUUUUUUAUUAAAUUAAAUCAUGUAAAAAUACUAAGAAAAAUAAAUAGACACAUAAAAUAAAUAAAUAAAAAAUACCAAAAAACAGCUCGGCUUGCUUCUUAAAUUGGCUCGGCUCGAGACAGAGAAAACAACUUAAAAACAUGACUCAGGGGUGCACAGCUCAGCUAAGAGGCUGGCUGAAACGCGGGUCAGUCAAACGGGUUGGUGCUUGGGUUGGGUUGACCUAAGUAAAAUGCACGGAUCCUCUGGGAUUUAUUAAUGACAAAAUGACAUCACUUUGCAAUGGGUAUAUAUGCCCGAAUCUCAGUUUUUUUACCAGAAUUCCCCUUCCCCUCUCUCUCUCUCUCCUCAUUUCUUUUAUCUCUUUUCUCUCUACAAAAUCCCAGAAUCCGGUUGAAUGUUCUACCAAAAACUAGGAAACAAUGUCGGAAACUAGGAAAUUACACCAAAAAAUAUGAAUCUUGCCAAAAAAUUGAUCGGAAUCUAAAAUUUUCUAAAAAAUUUCUAGAAAAAAAUCACCAAAAAAAGUUUGAAAAAUUCCUAAAAAACUCUAAAAUUGCUUUAGCCCUUCCAAACACUGUUUGCUUCUGUUUUCUCUCUUUUGUGUGUUUCUGUUCUAUUCAAGCCUAUGUUUAUAGGCUAAAUUAGAAGAUUUUCAAAUUAACUCUAAGUCCCACAUUUGAUUAAAUUUUUUCCUUAUCCUAGAGAAAUUUAAUCCAUCUAUGAUUCUACUACCAAUCGGCAAAACCUUCUUUUUUUUGUUGUUUUUUUCCAUUAUCUUUUAGAAUAAAAAUUAUAUUAAAAAAUAAUAAUUCAAAAAAAUUUCAAAACAAAUAACCUUAAAAAAUAAAAAAUAAAAACGAAAAUAAAAAUAAAAUUGGGCCAAUUUGCCCUAUUUGGACCAGGCCCAAUUGAUCUGUGUCUGGACCAAAUUAGGUGUCUACACAUAUUAAUUAUAUAAUAUUUUGAUUUUAUGGUAGCUUGUUUAAUUAUAAUAAGAGGCAUUCGAACAUUGGAUUUAUUGAUUAAUGCUUUUAUUUUUAACUUAAAAAAAGAGAGAAAAUCUUUUUUAAUAAAAAAUUUAAAAAUGAUAGCCAUAAAAAAUCUUUGUUUCAAUGGUAUAUAUUUAACUAAUACCUUUCUCCAAGUGAGCACUUUAGAGAAUAAUCGUCUUUAUCAUGAUGAAUGAGUGGAUUUUGAAUAAAUAAUUUUAGUCCGACUCAUGUCAAAUUCCAUAACAUUCCACAAUUGCACCAAUAUAUUAAAAGUUAAAUUCCAUCGUCGUGGCUUCCUGCCAAAUUCUUAGUCGAAUCAUUAAGAUAGGGACCAAUCAAAAUCUUUUUAAAUUUUUGGUGCACCAAAGACCAAACAAUAUCUACCAUGAUUAAUUGCACUUGUUAUCAGAAAAGAAUUUUUUGUAUUCUAAUGUAAAAAGUUUGUAUAAGAGUUUAUAUUUACAAGAUUAUUUCACUAAUUUAAAUAAAAUGAAACUGAUUAUUUAAUAAUUGUAUCAUAAUUUUAAAUUAUAAUAAUUACAUUAACAUUCAUCUUUAAAUUUACAGAGGUACAGUAGAUUUUAACUUGAGAUUGUUAAUUAACUCUUGAAAUACACAGAAAAUGUAUUCAAUAAAAAAAUCAAUAGUUUAGUUUGAAGAAGAUAUAGAAAUCACAUGAAUAGUCCCUUACAUAAUUUGAUAAAUCAAAUGAUGUAGCAUGCCCAUGAAUAAAAGCAAGGAUCUAGGGUUCCUAGUCAUUUUAGUUUCAUUACAUUCUAUGUUUUUUUUUUUUUUUCAUAACAGUAAUCAUGGCCAAGAUGCUAUACUCAUAAGUUGUGAAGAAAAAGCUCCAAAUACUCCACCAUAAUGUAAUAGAACCUCGAACAUGUAAGCAUAUGGUCACUCAAUCUUAGCAAGCUUUUGUUCACUGCAUCCUCUAUUGAAAGCAUCUCUGACUUCUCACAAUGACUGCCUCAGCUUCCAAUAAAUAAAUGGCUUUAGCCACCCAUGAAUCCACCAGUCAUUCCACCCCAAAGUAACCUUUUAAAACAGAAAUAAUCAACUAGAUCAAGCAACUCUAAAGUUAGGUGGCACUGCCACCUCCAAUCAACUCCCCAUAGGUUGAUGAAAAACCAAACACAACCUAUGUUACAAUCUAUGUUUAGUGCAUUAGAUAAUAAAUAAGAUAAGAUGAUAAUUAUCAUAUAUCAUAUUUAGUUUAUAUCGAAAAAAAAAAUUAAAAUUAUAAGAAAGAUUAAUUAUCCUCAGUGACGAAUGAUAGUUAGGGCAAAGGCCUUUCCCCCAAAUUCUAGAAUAUAACAUUACUAAUUAAUUAGAAUUUGGUAUAAUCACUAUGUGGAUUUCUAGAAUUUAGUAAUGAGUGUUUUAAAUAUAUAUAUAUAUAUAUAUUUAUUUAUUUAUGUUUUCAAAGAAAAUGUAGAGUUACGUAAUAAAAUAUGAUAAUGUUUUUUAAAGAAGCAAAUAUUUUUUAAAAUGUGUUUUUAGUAAAAUAUAUAUAUAUAUAUAAAUAUAAAUAGUCUUAAUUUUUUAGUUUUAUAAUUUUAUUUUGAUUUUUAAGUAUAUUUUUAACUGAGUUGAUUCAUUUGACUCGUACCACAAACCCAAUAAAACACAAUAUGUAUGUUACUAGAAAAUGAUUCAUUAAAAAAUUGUAAUAUGAUAGAGAAUAAAUAAGAUAACGAGAGUAAAAAGAAUUAAUAAUAGAUAAGGUAAAUGUCAAGAAUUUAAAGAAUAUUGUGGUUCGAUCAUACUAGUCUAUACGCAAUCGAGAAAGGCACAAAAAAUAACUACAAGUACUUGGCUUUAAAAUGAAAAAACAAGUAAAAGCGAAUUGGUUGAUUUUAACAUUUAAAGUCUCAUUCUACUUUAAAACAAUGAAAAUACUAUUACAACUUUAUUAAUAUAUAUUUGCAUUAUAAUUUUUUCAAUUGAGUUGUAUCAUAUGAUUUAAUAUUGUGGCUAACAAAUUACAUUCUAUGUUAUAUAUAUAUAUAUAUAUAUUUAUGUUGUGCAAUUUUUAUAAUAUUAAGAUAUUUACUACAUUAACAUCAUAUGAUUUGUAUGAACAACAGCAUAUUGGAUAAAUAUAAAUAAAUAAAUUGUGAAAAAAAUUAUAUGAAAAUCUUCUAAUUAAUUGAAAAUUUCAUAAUACAAAUUUUCAGUUCUAGAUUUUAAAUAUAGAAGUUUUUUACAUGAUAUUAGAGCAGCUGUGUGUUUUCAUUUCUUAAUUCUUUAGACUUGUUUUAGCAUUAAUUUUUCCCAUUCCAUUUGCUGUGGUCCUUUAAAACUUGCAGUGCACUGCUAUGCAACUUUUUACAGAAAAAGCUUAUAUAAAGUUUUAUAAGUGAAGUUUUUAAAAAUCUUUGUUAAAAGAGAAUAAAUUAAAAUUAAAAUCAAAAAUUAAAAUUAAAAAAUUUGUCAAAUAAACUAAGCAUGUAAAAUUCGAAAAACAAUAAAUUUUGAUAUAUUUAUUAAAUAAAUAUUUUUAGUAAAAAUAUUGAUAAAAUUUAUAUUAUUGAAUAAGUAUCAAUUAAAUUUUAAUUAUAAAUAAUAUUCUUAAUAAUUUUAUUACAUAUUAUUGAUUUUCACAUUUAACUUUAUUAAUUUAUCAAUUUAGAUUUUUAGUUAAAAUUUUUAUUAAAUUAUUUUUUAAAAAAAAAACCUCAUAAAUUUUAUUCAAAUAUCUUCACAUAAAAUUUGUUCUUUUUUCACGUAGAUUAUAGCGAUCAAUACAAUGCCGGUAGAAUCCUUCCUCUUUGGUUUUGGUUUGGAAUUCUGCCGCCGUACUUGAUGCUGGAACAACUUUAAAUUAAUAGUCAUUUGUUUUGAUACAACUUGUUUUUCCUUUUUUUUUUCUCUCUUACUAUAUUAAAAAAUGACAAAUUGUUAAAUAAAUAUAAAUGAAUAUGUUACGUACCUUUAGCUUCUAGGUCUUUAAUUAAUAAAUAAUAAUUUUAUAUUAAAAAAGUAAUUGUGACCUCUUUAUUUAAUCUGCAAAAAUUUGAUUUAAGUUACGACGAAUUUGUGCCGUCGGUAACAAUUGUAGCUUGCUACAGCAUUGACUUGUUCUUCUUCUUGAAUAAAACGUCACAACUUGUUUUAUAUACUUUUUUUUUCUCUUACUAUAUUAAAAAAUGACAAAUUAUUAAAAAAAAUUAUGAAUAUGUUACUUAUCACUAACCUCUGAGGUCUUUUGUAACCUUGGUUUGUAGUUUUGCCAACGAACUUGAUGCUAAAACAACUCUAAAUUCAUAGGCAUUUGUUAACUUGUUUAUACUUUUUUUUUUCUCUUACUAUAUUAAAAAUUAAAAAAAUGACAAAUUGUUGCAAAAAAAUAUUCGAAUAUGCUGCGUACGUCUAGCCUCUAGGUCUUUAAUUAAUAUAUAAAUAAAAAAAUUUUAUAUAUUAAAAAAGAGUAGAUGUGACCUCUUUAUUUAAUCUCCAAAAAAAAAAAAAAGACUUGGCCUUUUACUUAUUUAUUUUAUGAAUACUGUUACUACCGUAAAUUAAGUUUUUGAAAUCUGUAACAACUUGCUAUAGGGAGAUUUUAUUGUAAGUUUACGAUUUUAGCCUUACAAUGAGGUUCGUAAAUAAUAAUUAUUAUAUUUAUAUAAUUAAAUAUUAAUUAUUGAUUAAAUUUAAAAGUAAAAAAGGAUAAAAUGUAUUAUUAGGUAAUGAGAUUGUAAAAUUAAAAUUAUGAAAUCUUUACAAAAUUUAAAUAAUUUUUACUUUAUAUAAUAGUCUUUUAUUUUUUAUUUUAUAACAUGUUCAUGAAAUUACUUCAAAAUAAAAAAAUAAUAAUUAAAGAUAUUCUUUUUUAAAAAUUUAAUUUAAUUGUUAUCUUCUAAAAUAACUAAAAAGUAUUAUAAAAUAAAAAAUAAAUCUAAAGAAAUUAAAAAUUAUUAACAUAAAAUUCUUUUAAAAAAAAUUAACUUAAAAGAAUUUAUAUUUUAAUAUAUAUAAAACUAAAAAAUUAUUAACAUAAUAAAUGAGAAAAAUAAUAAAAUUUAUAUCAAUUUGUAUAAAAUUGAAUAAAAGUGUCGUAACACGCUAAAAACGAGUUAUGAAAAUUUUAAAUAUAAUUGAAUGUAAGAAAAAAAUGUUAGAAGAAUUAUUUAACAUAAAUGAUUAAGUUAACAGCAUAAAAUUUAAAUUAUUUAUUUUUCUUAUAACUAUAUUAAAAAAUAGUUAAAAAAUACCUUUAAAGAAAGAGAAUACCACAAAAGAAAUGAUAUUUUAGAAUAAAAAUAAUAACAAAUUUAUUAAUGUAAGCAGGUAAAAGGAAUCAUAAAAUUUGCGUUAUUUACCAUAAAAUAUGUUAGAAGUGCUAUAAUAUCAAAAAAGGAAUUAUGCUAAUUCUAAAUAUAAUAAAAUAUAAGAAUAACUAUAAGAAGAUAUUAUUGAAAUGUAAAUAAUUAAGUUAGCAAUGUAAAAUUUUAAUUAAUUUUUAUUCUUAUAAAUAUAUAAAGAAAAUAUCUAAUAAAUAAAAAAUAUAGGUAGCGUAAAUAGGUGAGAUAAAACAUAAUAUUUCUAUCAUUUGAUAUAAAAUGGAUAAGAAGUAUCAUAACACUCUAAAAAAAAAUUAUAAUAAUUUUAAACAUAUUAAAAAUAUAAAAUUAGUAUCUUUCGACAUAAAAUGAGUAAAAAAUGUCGUAACAUAUCUAAAAAGAGUUACAAUAAUUUUAAAAGUAAUGGAAAGUAAAAAUAACCAAAAGAAGAUAUUAUUGUAAAGUAAAUAAUUAUAUUAAUAUCGUAAAAUUUUAAUUGAUCACUUUUCUUCUGUAUAUAUAUAAGAAAAAUAGCUAAAAAUUAAAAAACAAAUUGAUAAUGUAAACAAGUAAGAAAUCUAAAAUUAGUAUAAAUUAUUGUAAAAUGGGUAAGAAGUAUAGUAAUACACUUAAAAAGAGUUAUGACAAUUUUAACUAUAGUGAAAAGUAAGAAUAAUUGUAAAAAUAUAUUAUUAUAACUUAAAUAAUUAUGAUGACACUAUAAAAUUUUAAUUAAUUAUUAUUUUUGUGUAUAUAAAGAAAAUAGCUACAAAUUAAAAAAUAAAUUGGCAAUGCAAACAAGUGAAAAAAAACAUAAAAUUAAUACCAUUUGAUGUAAAAUAAGUACAAAGUUUCGUAACACAUUAGGAAAUAGUUAUGAUAAUUCUAAAUAUAAUAAAAGAUAAGAACAAUCAUAAGAAGAUAUUAUUGUAACAUAAAUAAUUAUGUUUGCCAUAUAAAAUUUUAACUAAUUAUUAUUUUUUAAAUAUAUAGGAAAAAUGACUAAAAAUUGAAAAAAAAUAGGUAAUAUAAGAAAGUGAGAAAAAUAUAAAAUUAGUAUAAUUAAUGUAAAAUGGGUAAAAAAGUAUCGUAAUACACUAAGAAAAAAUUAUAACAAUUCUAAAUAUAAUUAAAGUAAGAAUAAUCAUAAAAAAUUUAUUGUAAAAUAAAUAAUUAAGUUGUCUACGUAAAAUUUUAAUUAAUUCUUUUUUGUAGAUAUAUAAAAAUAGCUAAAAAUUAAAAAAAUAUAUUGGUAACUUUAACAAGUAAGAAAAACAUAAAAUUAGUAUAAUUUGAUAUAAAUUGGGUAUGAAUUGUCGUAAUAUGUUAAAAGAGAGUUAUGACUAUUCCAAACAUAAUGGAAAUUAAGAACAACUAUAAUAAUAUAUUAUUAAAACAUAAAUAAUUAUAUUAGCAAUGUAAAAUUUUAAUUAAUUAUUGUUUUGGAAAUAUCUAAGAAAAAUAGCUAGAAAUUUAAAAAAUAAGUUGGUAGCAAUAAGUGAGAACAAAUGUAAAAUUAAUAUUAUUUGACGUAACAUGAGUAAAAAAUGUUGUAACACAUUAAAAAAAGUUAUGACAAUUCUAAAUAUAAUAAAAAGUAAAAAUAACUACAAGAAUAUAUUAUCAUAAAGUAAAUAAUUAUGUUGAUAAUGUAAAAUUUUAAUUAAAUACUAUUCCUGUAAAUAUAUAAGAAAAUAGCUAAAAAUUAAAAAAGAAAUUGAUAACAUAAACAAAAUAGAAGUAAUAUAACUGUAGUAUCAUUUGGAGUAAAAUGAAUAAUAAAUGUUGUAAUACUCCAAAAAAGCUAUAACAAUUUUAAAUAUUAUAAUGAAAAGUAAAAGCAAUUGUAAAAAAUAUAUUAUUGUAAUGUAAACAAUUAUAACGAUAAUAUAAAGUUUUAAUUAAUUAUUGUUAUUGAAUAUAUAUAGGAAAUAGUUAAAAAUUAACACAUAAAUUGAUAACCUUAAUAGGUGAGAAGAAAUAUAAAAUUAAAACCAUUUGGCAUAAAAUGGGUAAUAAGUGUCAUUAUACAUUAAGAAAGAGAUAUGAUAAUUCUAAAUGUAAUGAAAAAUAAGAACAAAUGUAAGAAGAUAUUAUUGUAACGUAAAUAUUUAAGUAGACAAUAUAAAAUUUUAAUUAAUUAUUAUUUUUAUAAAUAUAUAAGAAAAAUAACUAAUAAUUACAAAACAAAUAGGUAACAUAAACAAGUAAGAAAAGACAUAAAAUUUGUAUUAUUUGAUGUAAAAUUGGUAAGAAAGAGUUAUAACAAUUCUAAACGCAAUAUAGGAGAAUAAUAAACAUAAGAAAAUAUUAUUAUAAUAUAAAUAAUUAAGUAGAUAAUGUAAACUUUUAAUCGAUUAUUUCUUUUAUAAAUAUAUAAGAAAAUAGCUAAAAAUAAAAACAAACAAUUAGGUAAUGAAAACAAGUGAGAAAAAUCUAAAAUUUGUAUAAUUUGUGAUAAAAUGAGUAAGAAGAAUUGUGACACACUAUAAAAGUGUUAUAACAAUUCUAAAUGUAAUAAAAAGUAAGAACAAUUGUAAAAAGAUAUCACUGUAAUGUAAAUUAAAUAGGCAAUGUAAAAUUUUAAUUAUUCAUUGUUUUUGUAAAUGUAUAAACAAAAUAGCUAAAAAUUAAAAAAAACAAAGAAACAACGAAAUCAACUUAAAAAAAUAUAAAAUUGAUAUCAUUUGACAUAAAAUAAGUAAAAAGUGUCGUAAUACACAUUAAGAAAGAGCUAUAAUAAUUAUAAACUUAAUGGAAGGUAAAAACAAUUGUAAAAAAUAUUAUUGUAACAUAAAUAAAUAAAUAAACAAUGUAAAAUUUAUCAUAACGUAUAAAUCCAUAGACUUAUCGAUAGAUAUCGAUUUAAAAAGUUACCACCAAUAUUUUGUUUAAGUGCAAGUGGCCACAUAACUAAAUCUGUCUUAUUUUAAAAAGGAGUCCUAAGCUUGACAUAAGUAUUUUUAAAUGGUAAAUUUUAGUAUACGAAACUAUAUUUAAAUUUGAAAAUGCGAUUACACAUGAGAAAGGUUAUAGCACCUUCACAGUGCCUAUCCAAAUUAUGGUACUAGUUUAAUUUCAAGUUAUCCAAGUCUUAAAAUAUCUUUAUACUUUAGCAAAUAAUUUAAUUAUUGAAAUUUGAUCUUAAAAUUACUUUAAUAGUUUGGUAGCAAUUUAAAAUCAUUUUCUCACCUCAAGAAUAUUUAUGGAGAAUAGUAUCCCACUUGAAGAAGCUCCGUUUACGUUAGAUUCAUUCAAUUUUUUAAAAAACUUUUAUUUGUCGUAAUGAGAUUUAGAACCUUGAUAUAAAAAAUUUUUAUAUAAAUUCUCUAAUAUGUUAGUAAAAUUUAGAAAAUAUUUUCUCACCUAAGAAUUCACAUAGAGAUUACUAUUUGUAACACUUUUACUAAUUCAAUCAUUGGAGAUUCAAAAUUUAAUUUCUAUAAAUUUUUAGAAAAUAUCUUUCAAUACGUUGAUAAAAUUUUUUUGUCAAAGAUUAUCCUCCAAAAUGUUGGUAGGAUUUUAUAAAAACUAUUUUUUUUCACAAAAUUAGGUUAUGAAAUUUAUCAAAAAUUCAAAAUCUAAUUUCUAUAAAAAAUAGUUUAUUUUUGGAAAAUAUCUUCUAAUAUGUUGAUAAGAUUUUUUGUCAAAGAUUAUCCUCUAAUAUGUUGGUAGGAUUUUAUGAAAACUAUUUUUUUAUGAAAACUAUUUUUUUUCAUAAAAAUUAGGUUAUGAAAUUUAUCAAAUUUUAUAAAACUAUUUUUAUUUCAUAAAAAUUACAUUAUGAAAUUUGACAAAUUUCAUAACCUAAUUUUUGUGAAAAAAAAAGUUUUCAUAAAAUUCUACCAACAUAUUGGAAGAUAAUUUUUGACCAAAAAUCUUGUCAACAUAUUAGAAGAUAUUCUAAAAAUAAUUUUUUUAUAGAAAUUAGAUUUUGAAUCUCCAAUGAUGGAAUUACUAAUAGCAUUGCAAAUAACAAUAUCUAUGUGAAUUUUUAGGUGAGAAAAUAUUUUCUAAAUUUUUUCAACAUAUUGGAGAAUUUAUAUAAGAAUUUUGAUACUAAGAUUCUAAAUCUUGUUAUUACAAAAAUUAAAUGAAUUCAAUAACGAAACUUUUUCAGGGUGGGACAUUAGUUUCCAUACUCUUGAGAUGCAAAAAUUAUCUUAAAUUGCUAUCAAACUAUUUGAGUAAUUUUAAAAUCAAGUUCCAAUAAUUAAAUUAUUUGGUAAACUAUAAAGAUGUUUUAAUGCUUCGAUAACUUGAAAUCAAACUGAUGCCAUCUUUUGGAUAGGCGUUGUGAGGGUGCUAUAACCUUCCUCACACGUAAUCACACACUUGAAUCUAAAUCUAGUUUUGUAUAUUAGAAUUUACCAUUUAAAGAUACUUAAGUCAAGCUAGGACUCUUUUUUAAAAUAGGACAAAUUUAGUUAGGUGGCUAAUCGCACAUAAACAAAAAAUAUUGGUAGCGGCUUCUUAAAUCGAUGUCUAGUGAUAGGUCUACAAAUCUAUACGUUAUGAUAGUUUGGAGAUUCUAUUAGAGAUAGGUAAAAGUCAGGCCAAUAAAUGAUUUCUUGUUAUCCAAGUCUAACUUAAUAAAUUUAAAAUUUUUUUCCUUUUCUUGUCUAUGUUUUAUUUAUUUAUUAUUAUUAUUAGUUCUCUUAUCUUUUAUUCACUUGUAUAUGCAUAACAUGAGCUCUAUAUUUGAGCUUUGUCUUUUAGAAGGGAUUAAAGUACUUACACUUUCGUGAGAUUUCAUAUCUCUACAUGGGCUAGCGAAAUACUCCCACUCAAAUUGAACUCUUUCCAUUUGUAGUUUAUAGUGGGCAAUGAUUGGGGCACUUUACUAGUUUAUAGUGGACAACGAUAUAAGGAAUAAUUUGAGAACGUUUAGACUGUCAAACCUUUGAACUUAGCAUGUAAAUAAAUUCUAAAGGUACAAACUUAAGUUAGAACCCUUACCCCCCUUAAGUUAGAAAAUCCUAAAUAUGACAUAUAAUGAUACAUUUAUUAUUAUUUUGAUUGUGCAUUUAUGUAUUGAUUUUUUUGUAUAUAUUAUGUGUACACAACCCUUUUCUUUUAUUAUGCAUGCAUUCACAUCAUUAGAUUUAUCAUAAGGAGUAAUUGUCAUAAAAUAAUUUUAACAAGAAAAAUCUUAGUUACAUCUAUGGAAAGCUUAGUAAAGUCUUUUAAUUGCCUGAAAAGAUAGCCUGAAGAGUUAAAGCUUGCAAACAAAAAAUUGAAAAGGAAAGUUCAAGUACUCAAGCAAGAAAAGGAUGAAUGAAAAAGUUUGUUUGCUGACCUUAACACAACACAGUCAUCCAUCAUUUAAGAGCUGGCCUAACUUUUGAAAGAAAAUAGAUAGUUGCAUGCAAAGUUGCAAGAAAGUAAGGAAGCACUCUCUGAGGCAUAAAAGCACAUUCAAAUGUUGAAUGGGAUUGUGGUUGAAAUUGAUACACAAAUAGAGGUUGUGACUGAAGAAUGUGAGCAAGUAAAUGAGGUAUAAGUGAGAAAGCAUGACCAAUUAGAGUACCUAUUUGACCAAAUCAUUGUGGCUACUUACAAAACCAAGGAUAUAAUAGAAAAUGUUGAAGAAUGGAAGACAAAGAUGCCACCAGUGGGAGCACAUGGCCAAGAACUAUUAGAUUUCCUUAAUGAAGUGUAAAGUUAAUAUUGAUAAAUUAGAGAUUUCUUUCCUCAAUAAACUCUAGACUUUUCAUGAAUUUUGGAUUUGGUUAGAAAUAAUGAUUAAUUUAAUAAAGAUUUUCUUUGUUAACAAUUGUUAUGUGGUAAAUUCUCCUUAUUGCAUUCAUGCAUUCCUACAUUCAUUCUCAUGCAUAAUUGGAUGAUUUCAUAAACAUUACUUUAAAUAUGUAUCCUAAUUAUGAUAAAUUAAGGUUCAAGAUAGCUUAACCAACUUAUCACUAGUAUAACACUAAAGUUCAAGUCGAAGAAUGGAGUAAGAGAACAUGAACCGUUUUGAAAAAAUAGAAAGGGCCCGAAAAGAGCUCAAAAGAAAGUUAAGCAAAAUCUUUUGAGCAUUGAGUAAGCUAAAUAGAGGGAAAGCUAUAAAAGAAUAUGCUAGCCCUAAAGACCAUAUGUCGUAAGACAUUGUUGCUCCUCUGUAUCCUCUAGACUAUGGUCUAUAUCAGGGCCAGUCCACUCAAAGAAUUCUUUCAUAACAAUUCACAUUCCCUGCGAGAUAUACCCAGCCUUAGAUACCAUCUGCAUUGACUCAAAGGUAAUUUCAAAGUUUUGUUAAUCUUGUCUUCACAAAAAUGGCAAUUGAACCAGUUUCAAACCUAAUCCCCAACUUAAAUAACCCAAAUGAGGAUAAAAAGCUGAAAUUAAAAAUGGUUAAAAGUUUAGAAGACUUAAAGUUUGAAUAGAAGAUGAACUGCUAGAAGAAAGAUUAUGGGUCAUUGAAGGUAUAGACUUUUAUGGCUUCAUGGAUGCUAUUAGCUUUGUUUGGUCCUAGAUAUUAUGAUUUUUCUAAAAUUUAAGGUUUCAAAGUUUGAAAAGUAAGAUGAUACUAAGUUUUCGAUCACAUAUGUUACUAUAUACUAUAAAAAAAAUAGUUGCUUACACCAAUAAUGAAAAAUUAUUGAUGCACGUGUUUCAAGAUAGCCUUAUUGAUUCAGUUGUAAGGUAAUAUAUCUAGUUAGACCAAAACCACAUCCACUCUUAGAAGGAGCUAACCUAGGCAUUUAUUAAUUAGUACUAUCACAUUAUUGACUUGGUUCUUGAUCGUUUUUCUUUACAAAGCAUGGAAAACAAAGCAACAAAAUUUUUUAAAAAUAUGCCAAUGGUGGAGGGAUAUGGUUGCUUCAGUUAACCACUUUUGACUGAGAAAGAGAUAAUAGUACUAUUUAUUAACACUCUAAAAGUAGCCUAUCAUGAAAAAAUGAUAAGAAACAUAAAAAGAACUUUGAUGAUAUGGUGAUAUCAAGAGAGAUUAUUGAAAAUAUCAUCAAAAGUAGCAAGCUUGCGGAAGAAAUGACCAGCAGUACCAAAAAAGGUGGGAUGCCUAAAAAGAAAGAAGUUAAAGCCCAAACUGUGAGUUUUAAUAGGCAACAAUUCAAAAGUUAUGCUCCAUAUCUACAACCUGUUCAUUUGUUUACUACAUUAAUAUCAAUAAUAUUGCACAAGUCCAUUACCUACGUAUUCUACAACUAGUUAAUACAUUCGUUUACCAACUAGCCUUUCAAACACUUAUAUAGGGGCCUAAUCUUGUCACUACAUUAGUUUGAAGGCUUAACAACCAAGUGAGUUAUUUGAGAAGAUCUAGAAACAACAAAAAAAAAGCUCACAUUGAUCCUAUACCCAUAACAUAUACUGAGCUAUUCUCAAAGUUGUUUAAAAACAACCUAGUAUCUUCAAUUUAUUUGGAACCAUUGAAGUCACCUUAUCCCAAAUGUGAUUACCAAUAUUAAUGCCACAUAUGAUUACCAUAAUAAGAAUGUGGUCACUCUAUAGAAAACCUACCUACUUUCAAGCAUAAGGUACAAAGUUUGAUCUGAGCAAGCUCGAUAAACUUCAACAAAUCAAGAGAGUUGAAUGCCAAUAAAAAGCUUUCUGUCUGAUCACUUAAGGGCAUAAUUUUGAAAAGGAUACGAAAAUACUGAUCAAAAUUUCCUAUCAUUUUGAGAUUUCUUUAGAAUAAUGAUCUUUUUUAUGUACUAGGAUUUUAUUUUAUUUUUUAUUAUUUUAAUAAAAGUGGUAGAUAUGAUGCAUUUUUAGGACAUUUCCUUUUUGGUGUGAAUCACCAUUAUAUACUUUUACCUUCUCAUAUCUUUUUUUAUAUCCAUUCUCAGAUUUCAAAUAAUAAAUAUUUAGAAAAUUAUGAUAAUAAUUCAAGAUUCAAUUUUGAAAGCAUCAUUCAUAUUGAUAUGAUUGAAAGUUGAGAUUGUUAAUCUAUUAUGAUUAUUAAAUAAAAUAAGACAAAUCUGGUAAAGAAUUUUACUGAUUAAAAGAAUAAAUUGAUACAAUACAUGAUAUUUAUUUUUGGUUAAUAAAUAUUUUUCAUUGAGAGUAUUCAUGUUUGAGAUGAGAAAUGCAUCUUUUUUUUACCUUUUACAUAAAAGUAAAACCAUCCUUUACUAUCUCAUUUAAGCCUAUUAAAAAAAGUUUUCAAAAAAUCAUAACCAAAUAUCACCCACAUAUUAGGGACAAAGUUUGAAAAGCUUGUUCACAAAAAGGAAAGUGAAGAUCCUUAAUGAUUUCAGAAGUAAAGCCUUUUUGUACUCAGAUAUUUUUUAAAAAAUGAUGAAAAGUGCAAAAGCAAACAAAAAAAAAAAGAAUGAAAUAAAAAAAAGAAGAAAUUGAUGUGACAAAAUAUCAAGGUGCUCUACAUAAAAAAAAUUCUUGGUUUGAUUACCUUUCAAAUUCAUUUUAGGCUAGUUUAAUCCAUUUCUUUCAUAACCCUUCACCCUAGCCUAUAUUACGUAUCUUAAAAUAUUCAUUUUAAUCAAAUGUGAAUGCUCAAAUUAGAAAAUCAUGAAUUGAACUAAGGCAAGUUUACAAUUAGAUUGUUUAGGAUUUUGAUCAAAAUGUUAUCGAUGAAUCAAAAAAAGAGAGAAAUGAAAAGAAAAGAUGAGAAAAAGACAUAUAAGCAAAAAAAAAAAAAGUAAGAAAAAAAAUGAAGAAAAAAAGAUUUAAAUUGAAAACCCAAAAGGACAAUUUAAAUAAAAAUAAAAACUAGGGAAAACAACUUCUUUGGAGGAUCUCAAAGAUAUAGAUAAAGUUUAGUUCAAAGAUCAAGAAUGUCAAUGGAAUGUAUUUUUGAUAGAGAAUUGUGAGUUAAAGUUUAAAAUUAUGUGAACAAUCAUUAUUCUGGAUAUUGAUAUCCCAUUUAAAUAGUCACAAUAUUUUGCUUGUGUUCAUAUUUGAUUUAUGCGUGAUCAAACUUCCUUUUGAUAAUGAAUGCCCUAUUUUUCUUAUUUUUUACUAAGUGCGUAUCCCCUAAAUGAAUUGAGAAAAUGUAUGAUUGAAUCAUAUUUGUUAUGAAUUAGAAUAAUGAUGAAUGAUAAUAUCUAUAAAAGAUUCUUUCAUUCAUUUGAAAGAAAUCCAAGAUGACAUGGGUGAAGAAGCCUGAGAAGAUGAUUAGAAAAGGACAAAUAAAGUGACCUAGUGAUGAAUAUGAUAAUAGAUUAGUCUAUAUAACUUGUAAGUUAUGACCAGAUGAUGAAAGUGAUCAGUUGAUGGAAUUUGCAACGUGAAUUUGAGAUUACUAGUACUAAAAAGCUAAAAAAGAAUAUAUAUAAGAUGAUGAAGUCUUAAGAACCUUACUACCACAAUUGAAAUUUCAUGGCAUUACUUUAGUGACAUUUGCAUUACAUAUAUUGUAUUAGCAUUGUUGUUUGAACAAGUACUUAUACAUAAUUUGGUGAAUAUUUGAAUCCUUGUUUUGAUAAUUGUAUUUGCAUCAUGUAGUGAAUAUUUGAAUUAUGGUAUGGCAUUUGCAUUAUUGUUUAGGACAUGUAUUUGCAUCAUUUAGUGAAAUCUUGAUUGUUGCUUUUGCAUCAUUUAGAAGCCAUUUGCAUUAUUAUCAUGACAUUUAUCACAUUUUAAGAUUUUGACUUUGGUGGGAUAAAAUCUUUGACUUUUGAAUCUUUGAAUGAAAAAGAUCUUUCAUGAUGAGAUUUUUUUUUGGACAAGAAAAACAUUCCAAACUUUUAAAGUUAUAAAGCCUUUGUUUAAAGAAGUUUUUUUUUCAAAAAAUAGUCAUGAUUUUAUAAGACAUUUGCGUAUAAUCACUAAAGUUUUUCAAAUGAGAAUUUUUGAAAAUUUGAUUGCGAAACCCUCAAAAAAUACCCUAAAAUUUUUUGAACGAGAACAUUUGAAAUUUUGGAUGUGAAUCUUUAAAGUUUUUAAAUGUGAAUCUUUGAUAUUUCGGGUGUAAAUCUCUAAAAUUUUCAAAUGAGAAUCUUUGAAUUAUGGAUAUAAGACCUUGAAAUCUUUGAUGUGAAUCUAUGAAAUUUUCAAAUAUAAAAUUUUAAAUGUGAAUCACUAACAAAAGUUUUUUGAAUGCCAAUUUUUGAAUCUUGUAUGUGAUUUAGAAAUUUUCAAUAGAGAUUUCUAAAAAAGUACAAUUGCAAAUCUUUACAAUGACGAAGUUGAAAUUCUUGCGAACCUAAAAUUCUUACAAAAUUUUGAAUUCUUACAAAGCUGAAAUUCUUACAAAUAUUUGAAUUCUAACGAAUCUAAAAGUCUUAAAUCUUUAAAGUCUUGUGAAUUUUUAAAAUUAUUGCAAAAUUGAAUUUCUUGUGAAUCUGAAAGACUUGUAAAUCUUUCAAGUCUUGCUAAUCUUUGAAUUCUUACAAACCUAAAAUUCUUACAAAUUUGAAGGUCUUGCAAAAUUUUGAAGUCUUGCGAAUCUUUGACAUUAUUACGAAACUGAAAUUCUUAUGAAUCUAAAAGUCUUUUGAAUUUUUGAAGUCUUACAAAUCUUUAAAUUCUUGUGAACCUGAAUUUUUUGUAAAUUUGAAAGUUUUGCAAAUCUUUGAAUUCUUGUGAACCUGAAAUUCUUGCGAAUCUGAAAGUCUUGCAAAUCUUUGAAUUCUUGUAAACCUAAAAUUCUUGUGAAUCUAAAAUUCUUGUGAAUCUAAAAGUUUUGCGAAUCUUUAAAUUCUUGCAAAAGUGAAAUUCUUACGAAUUUGGAAUCUCUGCGAUUCUUGAAACAUUUAUGAAUCUCAAAAUCUUUGCAAUUUUAAAACCUCUGCGAAACUUGAAAUCUUUAUGAACAUAAAAUCUUUACGAAUUUUUAAUCUUUACAAAUUUUGAAGUUUUUGUGAAUCUUGAAUCUUUGCGAAUUUUGGAAUCAUUAUGAAUUUUGAAUCUUGGAAUCUUUCAAUUCUUGUUAUGAAACUUUGUGAAUCUUUAAAGCUUUGUGAGCCUUUGAAUUUAAUGACUAACCCAUGAAUUUUCAAAUUGAGAAUCUUUAGAUUUCAAGUUAAAAAUUUUAGUUUUUCUAGACCCGAAUAAAAUGGAUGUCUUUUGAUCUUUUUACAAUUCUUGUUUUACAGAAAAUAUGUAAAAAUGGGCAGCUGUAAAUACUAUAUUUUAUUCAAAAAAAUUUUCAAAAUAAAAAAUGGGCUUUGAUCACAAAUUGGGUCUUAAUAUGAAAAAUGAAUUUAGAGCCCAAGAAUUAAAUGCCCAAAAAUUUUAAUUUUAAUUUUAAUUUUGGUUUUAGUUUUAAUUUUGGUUUUAAUUUGAUUUUAGUUUUAAUUUUGAUUUUGGUUUUUAACUUUAGGUUUUAUUUUUAGUCAAAGAGUCAAAAAGUAAAAAAAAAAAAAAUUAGAAAACCAAAUGAAAAAGGAAAUGAGAAUUUUGCGGGAAAAUCCUAGAUUCAAUAUUCAGAAUUUAAUUCUUGAUUCUUAAGUCAUUGAAAAAGGGAAGAUUGCAAAAGAAAUAAAAUCAUAAAAAAUUAAUUUGCAAAAAUCAAAUCAAAUCAUGGAUUUGGUGGAAUUGAUUUUUUUCCCAAAAUGAAAAAAGCAUGAGUCCCUAUAUAAAAGAUUCAAAUCUCCUAUCAAGGGGGAACAAACAACAAGCAUACAUAGAAACCAAUAUCAAGCAAUUCAAAGCAAGUAAAAGUUUCGAUUGGUUUUAUAUAUAUAUAUAUAUAUAUAUAUAUUCUAGGUUGGUUUUUUGUGAAAUUUUUGGAUUUAUUUGAGGAUUUUAGUUUUCUAGUAUUUUGAUUUGGUUUGAAUGGGAACUCUGUUUAAUUUCAACAGUUGGGGAUUUUUUUUCUAAUUUUUAGGUUUUUUGUUUGAAUUUUGGAUAGUGAAAAUUUUUUAGAGCUCUAAGAAUUUUUGGUUAAAUUUUGGGCUUUUUAGGUUGGAUUUGAAUUUUGGGUAAUUCCUUGGUUUUGUAUGAAUUUUUCAGUUGAAAUUUGAAUUUUUUGAUAGGUAUCAAGGUGGUUAAAGGAAUUUGCAGUGGUCGUUUUCUAGGUUUGUAGGGUUUUUUGGUUGGCUUGAAUUUUUUGACACCUUUUGAAUUUUUUGAUGUCGAAAUUUGGGGAUUAACCUGUUUUUAGAGAAAGCUGAAGUUUUUAGUAGAGGUUUUUAAAGAUAGAUCAGAGCAUUUUAGGGUUAGAAAGAGAAAGAGUUUGGUGUUUAUAAGGAAAGUCAAAGUUUUUUUGCUUUUUAUAUUGAGCUAAAACGAUGUCAUUUUGAAGAGCCUUUGACCCACGUGUGACUCGAUGACCUGCAUGAAGAUUCAUGCACCAACCCAACCCGAACACAGGUUUUCUCUUUUCUUUUGCCUUUCAUUUUUUAUUUUUAUUUUGAUUUCAUUAUUUUAUUAUUUAUUAUUUAAUCUUUUUAUUAUUUCUUUAAUUUUUUAAUUUUCUGCUUAUUAUUUUAAAUUGUUGAUUAAAUUAAUUUGGUGAGAAAAAAGAAAAAGAAAAAAUAGUUUAUUUUUGCAUGAUACUUUUAUGAAUAUAGUUUUUUUUUAAAGGUGUUUUCAAAAAUAAAUUUAUGAGGCUUAUCAAACUAUUAGAGAAUUUUUCAUGAAUUUAAAUUUUUUUAUGAAUUUUACUAAACUAUUGAAGAAUUUCAUAACCUAAUUUUUGUGAAAAAAAUAGUUUGUGUAAAAUCCUACCAACAUAUUGGAGGAUAAUCUUUGACAGAAAAUCUUACCAACAUAUCAAAAGAUAUUUUUUGAAUAUAAAUGGUUUUUUAUAGAAAUUAGAUUUUAAAUUUCUAAAGAUAUAAUUAUUAAUAGCGUUGCAAAUAACAAUUUCCAUGUAAAUUCUUAGGUGAAAAAAUCUUUUCUUAAUUUUACUAACAUAUUGGAGAAUUUAAAUAAGAACUUUUGAUACCAAGAUUAUAAAUCUUGUUAUCAUAAAUAAAAGUUUUUACAAAAAUUAAAUGAAUUCAAUGAUUAAACUUCUUCAGAGUGAGAUAUUAGUAUCCAAGAAUACUCCUAAAUUGAGGAAAUUAUCUUAAAUUGCUACCAAACUAUUAAAAUAAUUUUAAGAUCAAGUUCUAAUAAUUAAACUAUUUAGUAAACUAUAAAGAUGUUUUAAGACUUGGUUAACUAAAAAUCAAAUUGGAACCAUAAUUUGGAUAUGUGAUGUGAGGGUGCUAUAAUCUUCUUCAUACAUAACCACACUCCUGAAUCUAAAUUUAGUUUUGUAGACUAGAAUCUAUCAUUUAAAGAUACUUAAGUUAAGUUUAUGAUUCCUCUUUAAAAUAGGAUAAAUUCAAUUAGAUGGUCAAUCACACAUAAACAAAAAAUAUUGUUGACGACUCUUUAAAUUGAUAUAUAGUGAUAAAUCCACAGAUCUAUAUAUUAUAACAAAAUUUAAUUAAUUAAUAUUUUUGUAAAUAUAUAAAAAAUAGCUAAAAUUUAAAAAACAAAUAAGUAAGAUAAACAAGUGGGACAAAGUGUAAAAUUCAUAUCAUUUGACAUAAAAUGGAUAAAAAGUGUCAUAACACACUAAAAAAUAGGUAUAACAAUUCGAAACUUACUGUAAUAUAAGAACAAUUGUAUGAAAAUAUUAUUGUAACAUAAUAAUUAAGUUGAUAGCGUAAAAUUUUAAUCAUGUAAAUAUAUAAGAAAAAUAUCUAAUAAAUAAUAAUAAAAAAAGGUAACUUAAACAUCAGAGAGAAAAUAUAAAAUUCAUAUCAUUUAACGUAAAAUAUGUAAAAAGUGUCUUAGCAUAAUAAAAAAGAGUUUGCCAAUUCUAAACAUAAUAAAAAGUAAAAAUAACUGAAAAAAAUAUUUUUGUAACAUAAAUAAUUAACUAAGUAACAUAAUAUUUUAAUUAAUUAUUAUUUUCGUAAAUAUAUAAGAAAAAUAAGUAAUAAAUAAUUAAAAAAUUAAUGUAAACACAAUCGAGAUAUAUGUAAAUAUUUCAAAAAUAUAAUUUUAGUAAAACUUGCUUAUCUCAAUUGAUUUAUGCAAUCAUCGACAUCAAACAAAUUUGAAUUUUAAAUUUCAGCAUCUGUAAUAUAUAUAUAUAUAUAUAUAUAUUUAAGAAUCCAAUUAUUAGAAUGUAAAACAGGCUUUUAAUUGUGGUCACUUCAAAUAGAGAAUAGGGAAAUAAAUAUAUUUUAUGAUUAAGAAAUAGUGUUUGCAAGGUUGAAUUAUCAAGAACAUUAUAUGAUUAGGACCAAAAGCAUAAGUCAAAAGCCUAAUUAAUUUUUUUGUUCCCUUGUGUUUACGCUUUCUAGAAUUCCUAAACGUUAGUAUUGACUCUUUCAAAAUCCUCCAUAUAUGUUUUUCAUACUCUUUGCUCAACUAUAAAUAACUCCCACUCUCAACCAUAUUUCUACAUCAAACAUAGUGCAAUUAACAUUGGUUGUGUGAAAAUGUUAUUUCCCAGUUAUAUGAGGAAGGGUCUGAUAGCCAUCGUUGUGGCAGGAAUAUUUCUUGCCGGCUCGGUAUCGGUAAAGGCUCAAUCAGUGGCUGAUAUAGUAACACCUGAGUUCUUUAAUGGGAUUUUGGAUCAGGCAGAAGCAAGUUGUGAAGGGAAGAACUUUUACUCAAGGGCUGCAUUUCUUGAGGCUUUCAAUUCUUUCCCUCAGUUUGGUACAGCUGAUGAUACUAGGCGUGAGGUUGCAGCUUUCUUUGCUCAUGUCACCCAUGAGACUGGACGUAAGAUCUCUCUCUUCCUCUCACAAACGUAAACAGAGUGCCGGGUUCUGAUAAUUUUUACAUUAAUUCCUCUAAGAACAGUUAUGGAUUUUUUUUCGAAACUGAUUAAAUAAGAAACUAUUGACAGAUUUAUCAACUUUAAGAUGAAAAAAAUGUUCAAGAGAAUUUUGAACAUGUGCACGAGAAAAUUUUCCUUUAAAUUUUCUUCUUUUUCAUUACUUCGCCAUCUGAAUCUGCCACUACAUAAGAGUUAAUCUAAUUGGUAAAGAGAUAAGUAUUCCAUAAAUAAUAUUAUGUGAAUAGUUAAAAUCGUGAAUGCACCAAUCAAAUGUAAAAAAGUACACAUUUAAAAUCGUCCAUCCAAUAAAAAAAUUAGGUCUACUGACCGCAUUAUUAAAAAAAAAUUUUCAUUACUUUACAGGAAAAAAUUCAAGAUUAUGAGCAAGUUUGCAUAUAAACAUUAACUUCAGUCAUUUCACUUUCCUGAUUUUCCUGCUUUUGUUUGUACAGAUUUUUGCUACAUAAAUGAGAUAAAUGGUGCAACCAGCGAUUACUGUAAUGAGACCAAUACCCAGUAUCCAUGCAACCCUGACAAAGAUUACUAUGGCCGUGGACCAAUCCAACUAUCCUGGAAUUUCAACUAUGGACCAGCUGGGGAGAGCAUUGGUUUCGACGGCUUAAACUCGCCUGAAACUGUCGCCACAGACCCUGUUAUCUCGUUCAAGACAGCAUUGUGGCAUUGGGUUAACUUUGUUCAACCUGUCAUAGGUCAAGGCUUUGGGGCAACCAUUCGUGCCAUUAAUGGGGCUAUUGAAUGCAAUGGUGGAAGCCCUGAUAGCGUUCAGGAUCGGAUUAACUACUAUAUUCAAUAUUGUAAUCAGCUUGGCGUUGAUUCCGGGCCCUCUCUCACCUGCUAGAAUUUUACUUUUUAAUUUCUUGUUUUCGUUACUUUAAAUACUCCCCCAGAAAAAAAUGUUCCGUGAAAUGAAAUAAAUAUCAUAAUUAAACAUCAAUAAACUACUUUGCCUUUAAUUAUCAAUUUCUACAUGAUGUGUUUUUAUGGCUAAAAUAUAUUCCUCAAAUUAUUUUAUUUUUUUAAAAAAUAAAUUCAUAUACUUUUAUCAUAUUCAAAUAAGUCUUUAUUCUCUGAUUUGUAUUUAAAUAUAUUCUUAUUUCAAAUGAAAAAUUGAUUUAUGUUAAAAAUUUAUUUUAGAUUUAAAUAAAAAAUUAAUGACUUGAAUGAAAAUAAAUUAAAGAUUAAAAGUUUAUUCAGUGCAAAUUAUAGAUUAAAAACUUAUUUGAAAGUGAUAAAAAUAUAUAAAUUUAAUUAAGUAAAGUGAUAGCGAUUAAGAGGUUUUUUGUUAUUUUAACAUUUUCUUUUCUUAUUUAAAAAAAAAUUUCUUUUUUAAUCAAAGUUCAUGUAAUUUACUAUUCAAAAUUAAUACCUAUAUUCCAAACAAGAUACUCCAAGCCAAGCUCAAAUCUUGAGAUAGAUAUAAUGAUAGAUUACUAAUUCUUAUAAUGUAACACAAAGAAAAAUAUUAUUUUGCUGUAAUAUGUCAUUUAUAAAUUAGAUGACUUAUUAAUUAAUAAAUUUAAACUGAGUUUAUCCAAAUACUACAUGUCAUAUAAGAGAAUACAAAUAUUUAAAACAAAAUUGAUGAGGCAAAUAACAUGACUCAAAUUUUUAUGUACCAAAUAGUACUUCAAGUUUUAUUAUCCAUCUUCAUAUCGAUUAUGCCAUUAAGUCUUGUUUAUAAAAAUAUAUAUAUAUUACAUAUGAAUGUGUCUUUUGUAAAUUUAUUGAAAAUUUUAAUGUCUAACUUCAUUAGGGUAGGAAACAAAAUCUAAAGUUGUCAUUUACAAAAAAUGAAAUGUUAUAGUUAAAAUACUAAAAUAAGCCCUUAUAUCUCAAAUUUCUCAAAUAAACUCUUAUCUUUUUAUCAUAUCUAAUUGAGCCCUUAAAAUAUUAUUUUUUGUUUAAAUUAAGACCUUAUUGUACCUAAAACCCACUGAAAUCCAUUAGACAAAAGGGGUUGAAUUAACUAAAAAAUAGUACUUUAAGAGUUUAAUUAAUGAGAAAAAAUAUUUUAAAAGUUUAAUUAGACAAAAGUUUAAUUGGGUAUGAUAAAAUGACAGGAGCUCAUCUAGAAAUUUUGAAAAAAUAUAAGGGUCUUUUUAGUCUUUUGGCCAAAAUCAUAAAGGGUGUUUUUCCCUAUAAAUUGAUAUUUACUUACAACAAAAACACACACAAAUUAGUUCAUAUAUAUAUAUAUAUAUAUAGAGAGAGAGAGAGAGAGAGAGAGAGAGCAUACUUUUCCCUUAAUACAUCUUCAAGAAGGGAUGGCAACAAUGAAAAUGAACUCGGCCAAAUCCUAAUAUAAUUAAACGUUAAAAGAACUAACUUGAUUUUACCUUAAACCUAUUAAGAAUGCCUAUUAACAGCUACUAGGGUUUGGCAAAUUAAUUAGGCAUUACUAAUUGCCUUUAAUUAAGAUAGGUUCUACUUCUUAAUCGUAGCAUGCAAAUUAAUCAUGCAUGUUAGGAUUUGGCAAAUUUCCAGUUCAUAAGUACCCAUGCCAUCCCUAGUUGUAGAUCAUAUAUUUAUAUAUAUAUAUAUAUAUAUAUAUUUUACAUACAUUAACUAUCCUUCUAUUUCACAUCAUAAGUUACUUUUUCUGUUUUAUGAAAUGCAUGCAUGUCUUAAUCGUAAUAAAAAAAAUUUUUCAUUUAAGUGUUCGUCUAUUUCUUUUUGGGUGUAAAUAUAUAUUAAUUGUUGAAUUGGUACACAUAUAUACAUGUAUAAUUAUAUAAAUACAAAAAUUUUUUGUGUCACAUAUUAAAAAUGAUUAUAUGAAUUAUAUGAGUUAAGUUUUGAAUUUUUUUUACAAUAUAUAUAUUUGACAAAUUAAUUUUGGUUGGUUGACUUUGACAUUGGUAAACUUUUAUGACUUUUUUAAAGGCAGAGGUUAGAAUUGAUCACUUUAGAGCUGGCUUCAAAGGCAAUGCAAAUGAUUUUGACCAGAAAAAUAAGCCACAGUCAUCGAUCUUCUCUUCUUUGUAAAGUCGACUAAAUGGAAUGACUUUUCCUAAAAAUGAGGUGGGUAUGGCUUUUUGAUCCACUAUUCUAAGUUUAUAAAAUAAAAUAAAAAUAAAAUUAUGUACUUCAAUCAAUUAAUCGAUGAAAAACAAAAUUUAAAAACAUUUCUAAUUAAAAAAAUAAAUUUGAGAGAGUGGGUUUUAAUUUAAUUUGCUAUAUGAAUUGCACAUAUUAUAAAAAUGGUGUAAGAAGCCGAAUUUUAAAUUUAUAAAUAUUUACAAUUAUUUCAAAUUCACAAUUCCAUAAAAAUUAAACAAAUUCAUAAAACAAAAAAUAAAUAAUAAUCCUCAAAAUUACAUUAGCAUAUAUACUUUAUUACAUACAUUAUAUUAAAUUUGAAGUUUUUUCUUUUAAAUUCAAUUAAAUUGCAAAACAUAUUGCGUCAAUUAUUAAUUUCUUUAAAUUCUCUUAGAUUUUUUUAUAGAUAUAAAAAAAAUUAUAAAUGUUAAAAUUCGAAUUUACAAUUUAUUAAUAACAUUUUUAACUAAUAUAUGGGUUGGCUAUUUUUAAUUAUUAUAUGAGUAGGUAUUAUAGCAUGUUGGGUUUGUUUAAGGAUAUGGUUUGAAUCAUUCAAGGGAGCUCUUAACAAUAUUCAUCACCAAGUCAAAGUCUGACUACUUGCCCCUUCUGGAAACACUACUGCAUCUCAAUUUUGACUUCCAAAGGCCACUAUAGCAAUUUGCCUCCCUGUCUUCUCACUCCCGCUGCUAUAUAUAAUUCUCACCCUUAACAAUUUUUUCCAUCAAACACAACUUACCUUCAACCUGACUCCAAAUUUUUGUUCAAAAAUGCUAUUUCCCAAUAUGAAAAAUGGUUUACUAGCCAUUGUUCUGGCUGGAAUUAUUGCUGGAGCAGUGCCUGUAAGGGCUCAAAACUGUGGUUGUGCAGAAGGGCUGUGUUGUAGCCGAUGGGGGUAUUGUGGUACUGGCGAUGAUUACUGUGGCACGGGUUGCCAACAGGGGCCUUGUAAUCCACCACCAACUUUAAACAAUGUUUCAGUGGCUGAUAUUGUUACACCUGAAUUCUUUAAUGGCAUUUUGGAUGUGGCAGAAGAUAGUUGUGAAGGGAAGAACUUUUACUCAAGAGCAGUAUUUCUUGAAGCUCUCAAUUCUUAUCCCCAGUUUGGCAGGAUUGGAUCAAUUGAUGAUUCCAAGCGUGAGAUUGCAGCUUUCUUUGGACAUGUCACGCAUGAGACUGGACGUAAGAAUCCCUUUCUUCCUCUCAUAAACUUAAAUUUGGAGACUAUAUCCGCUCUAUUUUUUAAAGUAUACAUGUCCGAUACAUACCUGACAGCCAUGGAUAUAUAUACAAAAACCUAAAAAUUAUUAGAAAUUAAUAGUGAUUAAAAAACAAAAUCUUUUUAUCUAUGCAGAUUUUUGCUACAUUGAAGAGAUAAACGGUGCAACAAGGGACUACUGUGAUGAGACCAAUACCCAGUAUCCAUGCAACCCUGAUAAAGGUUACUAUGGCCGUGGACCAAUCCAACUAUCCUGGAAUUAUAACUAUGGACCAGCCGGGGAGAGCAUCGGCUUCGAUGGACUAAACUCACCUGAAACCGUCGCCACAGACCCCGUUAUCUCCUUCAAGACCGCCUUGUGGUACUGGGUGAACUCCGUUCAACCUGUCAUAGGCCAAGGCUUCGGGGCAACUAUUCGUGCCAUUAACGGGGCUCUUGAGUGCGAUGGUGGAAACCCUGCCACAGUUCAGAGACGGAUUG